UAACUUUUCUCUCUCUAAAAUCACCUGUCCAAUCCAAGCAAAAUCCUUUGGUACAAUAUAAACAUUACUCUACAUAUUUUGAUUUAUUUUCAUGGAAUAAAUUAAACGAAUCUUAGAUGAUUACGUCGCUGAGAUGCAUAUGCUUUGGUAGUUUAAUAAUUAAUUAAUCAGUUUUUAUGCUUCAGGCUCUGUAUUAUCCAUUUCAUUUAUUCUUUUCUAUCAAUUUCUUUUCUCGGUAUAGGCUAUUAUUAAUUUAUAAUGUUUUUGCAUUUUAGGACAUUAAUUUAUUCAUUUACCUAACUGUCGCCUGCGUGAUUAGUGAUUCGUUGCACGUUGUUCCGUGUUUUUUAUAAUUCUUAUCAAGUUAUCCGAAUCCGGAUAGCGUAAAUGUGUGUGUGUGGUGGGUAAUAUCUAUAAGCAGUUGGCGUGCCAUAUCUUUCACAUAAUCUUAGGAUCUAGAUUUGCUUUGCUUGAACUUCAAGGUCUAUAUUGUUCUUAAUUUUGGAUUAACUGAAUUUUAUUUUCUAAAAGUGAAUCCUCAUUUUGUAUGAGCCUCUUUACAUAUUCAUUUAGAUAUCAGUUUAGGAUUGUUGGACAAUACUUGCUACUUGAACUUGGCAGUUUGAAUUGUUAGUGUUGAAAUGUGACUUCUAAUAGUGCAUUCUGAGAAGCGUUAACUAUUUAUAUUUCUGUUUAGGGCUUUUUGGGUAAGUAUUCAUUAAAAGAAUUUCUACGCGACUCAUCAAUACUUUCUUCACCUGUUAAGUUUAAUUAAUGGCUGAAGGUAAUAAUUUAUCCAUUCUGUUUGUCGCUGUCUGCAUCUUCAAGACAUUGGCGAUACAAUUAUAAACUAUUGAUCUUGAUUACUUAUUUUGGAGGGAUGGAUGGGGGAAAUGAUGCCUAAGGAUAAUUGCAAUCGAGUGCAUAGGUAUAAGCAGAAUUUUGGUCAGUAAGUACAGAAAUAUGUGAGCUGUUUGUCAAUGUUCCUUCUUUCGCAGUGUUCUUGUAAUUAGUUCGCUAAAGAUGCAAUUCCUGAUCAACUGAUGAACUAUAUUUGGGGGGGGGGGGGGGGGGGGGGAAAAUUGNNNNNNNNNNNNNNNNNNNNNNNNNNNNNNNNNNNNNNNNNNNNNNNNNNNNNNNNNNNNNNNNNNNNNNNNNNNNNNNNNNNNNNNNNNNNNNNNNNNNNNNNNNNNNNNNNNNNNNNNNNGGAUGAAUCAUGCGGAUUUGUGAUGUUUUGGACAAUGUUGUCGAGCUUUUAUCUUGCCCUUAAAUUUAGCAAAAUAAUUCUGGUAUUCACUUGAGCCUCCCAAAGUAUUCUUUUUGAGCAUGCCACCAUAACUAAAUUGAUUUUCGGUAAUUUAGUUCCUAUAAUUUUUCUCUCUUUAUUUGGGAACAGUAGAUAUUUUGGCUUAUUGCAAUAACUUCCUUUGUCCCCAAUUUUUAGGGCUUUCUAACCAUUAGAAAUAUAAUAAAAACAAUUAUUUUAAAUAAACUCAGUCAGCUACAUAAAUCCUUAUCGUCAGAAUUUCUAUGGAUUGAAAUUUUGCAAUCAUAUUAAGCUGACAGCAAUGUUGUUCUAGCCUUGUAGGUGAAGAUAACAGAUUGAAAUUAAUAUUUUGCUUCCCAUCAUUUUCUUCACAUAGAUGGGUUAGUGUUGCUUGUUGCAGGUUUCAAUUCAGAUUUCUUUCCAGUUUCCACAACAACUAAUGUUCUUAAGUAAAUCAUAGUUCCUUACUUCCUUUAAUGUGUUUUGUGAAUUCCUGGUCCUCGCCAGGUAGGGCAGACUGUGUCAUUUUAAGAGUAUAUUUUUGGUUGUUGCAUUUCAAUUACCAUUUCUCCAUUAUUCUGAAAGACUUUCAACUGUACUUUGCUCUUUAAAACUUGAUUGUUAAUGCAUUUGGAUCCUGUCUUUGGCCUGUAUUUUCAGGUCAAAAUCGUGAUGUACUUUAAUAUCGUCAUCUGUCAUGUUGCAUAUGGAAUGAAAAAUCGCAGUGCCUAUUUUGAGUUUCCUGUCGUACAGUUUCAGUUCACUUUGCUCUUUCCCCUUAUGUCGACAAUAUAGAAUUGCUUUAUCAUGGUGAUGUCCUGCUCAAAUCGGAAAUAACCCCUCAUGUUUAAGUUUCCACUCUGGUAUUCAGGAAAUGGCAAAAGGAACCAGGGGAAGACGAGGGAUUGCUUCAAGACAGUGCAGGUCAACUCCAUACCCUCUGCCAGCUACUAAUCAAACCGAAGUGACAGAACAAAAGAAGUGCUCCAAAAUCUUCGAUAAGAAAGACUGGGAAGAUGCUACUUGUUCUGUAUGUAUGGAGUGUCCCCAUAAUGCUGUUCUUCUAUUGUGUUCCUCCCAUGACAAAGGAUGCCGUCCUUUCAUGUGUGGGACCAGCAUCCGCUAUUCCAACUGCCUUGACCAGUACAAGAAAGCGUACACAAAAGUAACUCCUUCAGACACUCGUCCAGUAGGGUAUGAUUCACUCGAUAGUCAAGUCAUGAGUCCAUUAUUAUUGUGAGGUUAUGGAACUUGCAUGUCCCCUUUGUCGUGGCCAGGUGAAGGGAUGGACUGUUGUUGAGCCUGCACGAGAACAUCUCAAUGCAAAGAAGCGUAGCUGCAUGCAAGAUAACUGCUCUUUUGUUGGAACAUAUAAAGAAUUGCGGAAACAUGUUAGGGUAGAGCAUGCUUCUGCUAAGCUACGUGAAGUGGAUCCCGUUCUAGAGCAGAAGUGGAGAAAGUUGGAGCAUGAGAGAGAGACACAAGAUGUCGUGAGCACGAUAAGGUCAUCAGUGCCAGGGGCAGUGUUCUUUGGCGACUACGUGAUUGAAGGAAGUCAUUAUGGGUUUAAUUCAAGCGAAGAGGAGCAUUAUGAUGCAGAUGGCAUGGAGCAGGACGAGGGCUCCGAAGUGGGAAUAGAUCGCAAUUUAAUGCGCUUCUUUCUUUUUUUCCAGGCAUUUGGUUCUGCAGGUAGCAGAUCGCAUGAAAGAGAUUCUGACCACUCGUUAGAUAGAGGUGCUUCUUAUUACUUUGAUCAAGAUGAUGAUGAUUUCAGUUUAGAUGACGGCAACUCUAACACGUCACUGACUGGCCGUCUACGUCGUCGAGGUAGAGUCCUUUCGGGAAGAAAUCGUAGAGAGGGAAAUGGAAACUGAAGUAGAUUCUUAUUGUUUCAGAGAAGGUAAGAAAAUGUGAAGUGUAGAUUUCUAGGUCUUAGUCCGUGGGUAGAAAAGUGUAAACAUUUGUACCUUUAUGCUUAUUUACUUCUUAUAUUCCAGACUUCAUUGCUGGAUGGCUCAAGAAUAUGGAGGAUCCGAUAAACACUUGUUCAUACAACUAUUAGUCUGCAGUUUCCUGAUUCACUUGUGUUGUAAAUUGUUGAAAUUCUUCGUGGUUUUGCUCAUGAAAAUUUAAGUUCUCUUUCCUCUGUGUUGCAUUUAUUUCUGGGAAUAGUCGGCAUUGUUAUACUACGAAAAGUGAAUUUGUUUCUUUUCUAUUUGAUUUUGAUGAUCGAAAACUGCAGGAAAGUAGAGCAUCAAGAUAAUUUUCCGAUAUAAUCAGAUUCAAGAGAUUUUAUUAUCUAAUUGCUUUGUCUCCUUUUUGCAGGUCGAAACAGUGACUAAGAUUAAUGUAUUUUGUAGGAAUUUUAUAAACGCGUUUAAGUUCGCACUUGAAGAAUUAACUUUAAACUUGUAAGAACUUAUCGACAUGCUCCCAUGUCCUUUGAUAAUAUCAUAAUUUUAAUGGAUCAAUUAAAAAAUAUGACUUCACGUCUGUCUUUUCUUGUUAUAUAACGAGAGAGAGAAUGGACGAAAGUGUAUCCAAGAAUGAAAAAUAAAAAAUCACAAGUUAGUCAUCCUUUAGCGUUGAUAGAUUUUGUUCAUCAGACAAACAAAUAAUCACAUUAUAUGAUCCUUCGAUUUUGAAAGACCAUUUCAUUUGGCCCCUGUUGGUACAGAUUUUUUAAAUUCAAUUUUUCUUAAAUUAACUUUAAUCAAACAUUUUUUCAAUAAAAUAAGUUUACAUGUGAAUCCAUAAUUUUUUCCUACAUUUCAAUCACCCCUCCAAAAGAAGACUUUUCACUAAAAAAUCUACCUCAAAUAGUCCCUUUUACUUUCUUCAUUUUGGCCUUAAUUUUUUAAUUUUAAUUUUUUUUAAUUUAAGUUUUCGUUAAUUUAUGCUAUAAUGCGAUUUUGACUAUAUAUAAUUUCCAUACUACGCCUAGGUUUCUUAUUAGGGUGUUGUCUUUCAAAUUGUUUAAACCUCGGCCAUUUGGGUGUUAAUAUGUUACUCAGAAUAAGCUUUUUUGAGAUUCUCCGUACGGUGUUUGUUACCUAUAUAUAAUAUUCUCAAACGAAAUUUAAAAUUAAAAGUUGUUCAAUUCACUAUUUGGCAUCAUAUUUCAAAACAACCAAUGGUUACAAGGCAAUUGAAAAUGAAUAUUGUACAUGGAAGUGUCCAAUGGCAUUCCUUGAACUUCAGAUAGAUUAAAAAAAGAGUGCCACAUAUUCUUACUACAGUACUAUCAAGUACUAUCCAGUCCAACUUAGUCAACAAGCUAGCUAAUGAAAUAAUUGUCCAUACACUGUUGGUUCUUCAAUUAGUUAUAAUCAGAGUAAAAAUGCAUAACUAGAAAACAGGGGAGUGGCACAAGCUACUAUUACUAGCAAGGUUCCUUGAUGCAAAACCUAGAUGGCUCUCAAAGUUAUGUAAGUCCAUUCAAUAAAUCAAACCACAAACAUGAACUGCACCGUAAGCCUACCUUCAUGAAAGUGUUGCUGUCAAUUCAGCUUUCUUAUCUUCCAAAAGCUUCAACUCAUUGCGCCAACCUUCUAAUUUGGCUACCUUUUCUAAUUGUUCCGGCUGCAUAUCUUUCUCCACUGUUUUCUGCUGCUGAGCUUCAGUAAGCCGAAUCUAUAUAAAAAACGCAGAAUUUGUAAAUCAGAGUUUGAACAUAUCCAAAUUCAAGUGCUGAUACCAAGAACCAAAAAGAAAUACAAUAUAUUUGCAAACAAUUGUGGGACACAAUAAUCUGGUUGAAUUUACCAUCUAAUGCAAAAUACUACGAAAACUACAACAUUCAUAUUCACCACGGAUACAAAAACUACAUGCACAAACUGGGAGCCCUGAUGUAGUUGAAAAUGGGGUCUAGUGUAAAUUUUACAUCAUCGUAUUAUCUUUCAUCUCUUUACUCAAACUACACUCUUUCUAAUCUACAAUUUGACAAUCAAAAAAUAUGAUAGCAGAUACGCAUCAAAGAGCUUAAAGCAAUUCCACCAACUAUCCUCAGGAAAAGAGCUUAUAUAACACAAUAAGAAAAUAAUAUAAAAUAGAAUUACAACAAAUUUAUUUGCAGAAGCAUAAAUACAGUUAGCUUAACUGGCACAGAAGCUUAUAAUAAAAAAUAAACUGCAGAUAGAUGUGAUAUUGUAUCUUUGGCAGGGGAUUUAAUUUGGAGAUGCGUACAACUGCUACAUUUUCCAAAUAAACAAAAUCAGAAUUCACAGUAUAUCUGUUGGACAUAAUAAUGCAGCAGAGUGAGGUCUUUUAACAUUUUAAUACUCAUGCAUACUACAAGCACAACAUAUAUUUACCUUCUUUUUCAGUGCUCGGAUUUUUUUAUCAAUAUCUUGAACCUGAUCCUCUGGAGUAGAACACACUGUUGAAUUUGAAGGUAGUAUGACCAUACGAGUACUUGAACUAAGGGAGAGUUCAUUCAUAUUGGAUGCAACUGACUCCACAUUCAUUGGCACGUCAUUUGAAUCUUCAGCAGGCAACAUAUCAUUGUUCUCCAAAGUUUUAUCCUUGUCAAGAGCAGCCUGUCAUAAAUCAUGUUUACCAGAACCUACUUAGAGAUGUACAAAUGGAGAAUUUAUCAGCAUUUCAAAUCCAGCACGAGGUGCUCCACAUACAGGACAGAGGACGUCUCUCAGGCUCUUGGAACACAGAUAAAUAUAUAUAUCAACGUGUAGUAUAGAUAUAAAUAUCGUGAAAACGGCAUAAUAUAAUUCAGGUAUCUGUCAAUUGGUCUUGAGGCCAAAUCUUGAUCUAAUUUGCCUUUCAAUGUAAAACUGACCGAUUAUGUUACAGUUGCAUAUAUAUUCAACAUAGGAAUUGGGAUGAGAUGCACGUACAUCUUCUAAGCUGAGAAGUCUUGUCAUUGCUGCAAUUGGUUACUCGACCUUUUGCCUAGCACAGAUUGAUUGUCAGUGAAAGAAGAUUCAAUGUGGUGUUUCAAAACAGUACUUGGAUCUGGGUAGUACUUGUUAUCCCAUUAAACUUCAAUUUGAUUUCUCAUCUCCGGUCAUUUGAAAAAAUUUAAAUGAAUCGAUGAGGUUUAUAUAUUGCAUAUUGCAUUGAUGUUUGCAAAAGUACACUUUGAGAGAAAAAUGCCAUCUCGUCUUUUACAAAUCAUUUUGAGACCAAAUAUAUUAUUCGGAACUAUUGGAAUCUAGUGCCAUAGAGUAACUUGCUUAUUUUGAAGAUCUUAGAUUUGUCAUUCAAGUUAUAAUCUAAUAAUUUAUUUUUUAAGAAUUAAUUACGAACAUGGAAGUUUGAUGCUUUGCCAGAUACAUAUUGCUCUCUACAAAUAAACCCAAAAAAAAAAAAAAAAAAGGGUUUUUCGGAGAUCAUUUUCUUCGAUUUUCCUUUCCUUUUCCUUUGCAUUCCACUUACCUUCAACAUAAUCACAAAUUUUUUUCUAUUAUUAAGGAAAAAAAUUGCUUUAUUGAAAAUAGUGCAAAAAACCUAUUAACUAUUGUUGCAGUGGCACAUCCAAGCACAGAAAGCAUCAGUAAAUUAAAGUGCAACUGAGCAAACAUUAAUUUCAUCUUAUAGACUGAAUAUAUUUGGGGGACAACAAAAUUUCUACAGUAAAUAAUGGACAAAAAUGCACAAUCAAAAUCCCUCAAAAUAAGCAUCCAUAAGCAGCUAUUGUUCUACUGUUUUUGCCAUAAUAAUCAGUAGACCAUAUUACCAUUCAAUCACGUGAUUUAUAACUUCGCCCCUCCAAAAUUAGACAAGAUUAGUUCAUAAGCUUCAUGGUUUCAUUUUGUAUUUGAACAGGUGGAUAUUCAAAUCCAUUCCAUGAAACUUUAAAUUGGUGGAUUUGAAUCAAGCCAAUUCAGAUUCAUCAGUCUGGAAGCACCUCAUUCAAAAAUCUAUUAAUUCAAAAAUCCUUUGCCUAUUCAUUUCGUUUCAUCAACCAAUCACAAGUACUUAGUUAAAAUAUUGGUGCAUCCCCUUUUAUAGAUAAUUAUACUUAUGCUUUAACACUGGUUUAAUUUAUUCAGGAAUCACCCAUGUACUUCCAAUUCUAUAUUAAAUGGAUUAUAAACACUGAGUUCUUCAUAGAAUAGCACUACAAGAAGCUUAUUAAGCUAUCAGUAUUACCACUACACGAAGCUCAACUUUACGAUUGACAACCCAGAAAAACAACACCUAAUAAAAAUAUUAUUCAACACGGAAAAUUGAGAAAACGAAAAAAUAAAAUUAAAUAAAUGAUUACCUGUAGACGUUUUUCUUUCUUUCUCUCAUUCCUUUUACCCGAUUUGGACUUAGGUUUGGCUUCUACCACAUCUGGAUUAUACCCCGGCGGCACCUCCUGCGUGGCCCCCAUUUCCUUCUUCCACUGUCACCACUCCCAUCAAUAAACGCAAAUUUAUACACACAUCUAUCAGUAAUUGUCAUAAACAAGUACGUAAAUCACUUACAAGGGCGCCUCUGGAUUGAUAAAUGGCGACUUCGUCUUGAGGCGUAUAACCCGCCCGAAUUCGUACGGGCUUGCGGAGGGAGCCGUCCGGUCGUCUGGUCGGGGCGAGGAUUCUUUCCCCUUCUUUCGGCGUUUUGCCGAGUUCAGCUGUGAAUUGACUCACUGCCUCUUCUCCUCUUCCAUUUCUGCUUGUCGCCAUUGCUAUAAUCGAUUGAUCGUGUGUCCAAAAUCUAAACGGGCGUAUUCAACUGAGGUUUUGAAGAUUCUGAUAAAAGUUUUGUUUUUUUUUUUUUCCUUAAGUGAGAGCUCAGUGGAUUUUUUAGAUUUUAUUUUAAGCCAAUUAAAUCAAUUUUUUUAUUAUUUUAAUCGUUAUUUUUGAAUUUUUCUUUCAUAAAUAAAACAACAUUAUAUCUAGUAGUAAAAAAUCAAUUAUCAAAAUCUCAACCACAUAAACACGUAGACUUUUUUUAGAAUUUAAAAGGUUUUUAAAACUUUUAUUUGAAGUAGAAUUUACGUCUUCCCCCUCCCCUUUCAGUAAAAUAAAGUGAUUUUAAAAAGAAUAAAAAUUUUAAAAAAUAAAUAAUAAUAAUAAUAAAAUAAUAUAUUUAAAUUUAAUUAUAAAUUGAUCAUAUAAAAUUUUGUAAUUAAAUAAAAAAUUGAUAUUUUUUCACAAAAAAAAAUGAAUGAAAAAAAGAAAAAAGUUAUUUUUCAUAGAAAAUAGAUACAAACAAAGAGAGAUAAAUAUGAACAAAUAUAAUUAAUAGAAAAAAAUAAAUUUUAAUCAUAACUCUAAUUUUCGUAAAAGGAAAAAUGAAAGAGAAAUAUUGGAAAAAUAUGCAUCGCUUUUAAAAUUUUUGUGAAAGUUUUCCAAAAUCUUAUGAUUAAUGAGAGAUAAAUGUUGAGAUUUGAUGAGUACUUUUAGCUUAAAAAUUAGUACCCCUCAAGAUUUAUAAAUAUUUCUAAAAAAUUUUAAUUGAAUACACCGUAACUUUUAAAGACUUUCUAAAACUCUCAAUUGAAUGCACCAAUACUUUUAGAAAGUCUCAAAAAAUCUAUAUUGAAUAUACAUGCACUUUUUAAAUUUUAAAAAGUCAUUAAAAGUUUCAAUUGAACAUAUCCCUAAAUCUUGAUUUGUGAGAAUUUAGUAUUCGAUUAAUAAACUAAUCAGCGUGUUUAUUAAAAAGGACAACAAUUUUGUAGCGAGGAUUAGUGAGCUAGAAGUAUGUACUUUGAUUGGUUCAUCGUGCGAGGGCUGAACAUCUCUGAGUCCUGAUUGGUUGAGGAUUUUUUAGACCCAAAAAAAAAAUCUUUUUUUUUUAUUAUUAUUUCACUAUUUCAACCGUUAUCUUUUACUUCUUCACUUACAGAUGGAACUCAUUUUUUUCUCUAACGGUAAAAAAAUUAGCUCUUAUAAUCACUACCGAACAGACCCAAAAAACUAACUUUUAUAUAGUUAAAAAGUUGAAAAAAAAAUUUGACGAGAUCACGUGUAAAAUUAUUUUAUUAAAAAAAUGUAAUUAAAAUUUAAUUUAAAAAAAUAAUGAUGGAAAUAGGAAUUGAAUGUAUAUUGGUUUUUUUUUUUUUAUUUAUUCUCGUUUCUAAAAUUCAGCUCCGAUUUGGCAAUAACUUUCUAAAACAUUUUUUUUUUUCAAAUUUACUUUCAAUCACACAUUUCAUGAUAUCCAGUUUUAUCAACUUUUUACUUAAAAAAUUUCAUUAAUUUUCAAAAUUUACUAAAACCUUAUUAACAAAAUGAAACAGGGGCUUAAUUACAAUAAUACUACCAGGACUACUCAUGAGAAAAAAAUAAGUUAAAAAACUCCAAAACCUGGUAGUUGAUCUAACUAAAAAGAUAAACCUAGGUGCAUAAGUAGUGACUAGCAUUAUUUGUCGUUGGACGGCCCAAAGGAUGCCAAGAGUAAGUCAGUUUUGGGGACCGAAGGCAGUUCUUCGUGCCUUGGACACGUAGCUUACCGAAUCAGUUGCGACAAAUAUGGGAAUGCAUGCUACGAAAGAUAGGUUCAAGUCUGAUACAUCAACCAUCUACUCAAUAUCCUUGUACAAGUCCACAAUCACUGCACGAGAUGAACCUUGGUUUUUUGAAUUGAAAUUGGCCUCAAGUGUAAUAGGACUCCCAGUUACUGCGCGUGAUCGUAUACGAGGUGCUCCCCAUGAAUUAUAAUUUCCCCUCUAUAAUAGAUAAAUUACCAUUAAUUUUGCCAUUUGAAAAAAAUAAAAUAAAAAGUGGGUUCAUUCAAUAGCAAUUAUCAAGAUAUAUCAGAAUCCAGUAACCAAGAAAUGAUAUAGUUACAAUAACAUUCACAGACCUCAGAGGAGGUAUCAUACAAAGUUCAGCAAAGAGUUAAUGUUCUCUGGUUAAAGUGCAACUUGGAACCAGUAGCUUUCACCGUUUACCUAUACAAUUUCAAAAAUUCAUUCUGUUUAUCCUUUUCUUGUUGCCAAUGUUUUGGCAUGAGAUGAUUUGCAAAUAUAAUUGGAGUGUCACUCUCUUUUACCCUCUUCUGUUUCUUCUUCUGAAUCAGAUGUCUCGCUGUCAUCCUUCCUGUCUUGCUUCACUAAACUGAUACCUUUUGGAGUUUCUCUACACAAGGAUUCUUCUUCUUCAUUGUCCAUCUCGUCUCCCUUGCCAUCCGAAUAUGCAUAACUGGCAGGAGUUGUCGUAAAAUUGAGACAAAAUAGUUCCACGGAAUAAAGACAAUAUUCAAUGAAAGUGUAGAUAAAAAGUGGGUAAUAGUUGUGAAUGUGUGAAGAAAAUUAAUAUAUGACUGUGACUUCAAGUUAUAAGGGUAACACUGAAACACAAACACACUAAACCUACCGCUGGGAGCUUUGUGAUGGAGCCCAGAGAUAGCAGAUAACACACAGCAAGGCAAAUGCAAGAAUGUCCCAGAAAGCAGUGAUAAUCCAGGCACUCUGCCACCUCUCAUUGAAUGGAUCUGUUGCUUUAAAGUAAACCUGCAAUAAUAAAAGUCACCAAUUAAUGAUUUUAAUUUCAUAAUGAUUUUAUGAGAGUUUCAAGAAGUUGGCCAUUCAGUUUCUCUCUCUUUUCCCAUCAUUUCUUCUAGGUGCUCCAAAAUUAGAGAGAGCUACCUAUAUUCACAUCUAGCAACCAAUACUCGAGUAACAAAAACUAAUAAGUAGCAUGCAUUAGCACAGGUUCAGCUACUUUUCCUUGGCAUUAGCACAGGUUCAGCUACUUUUCCCAUCAUUUCUUCUAGGUGCUCCAAAAUUAGAGAGAGCUACCUAUAUUCACAUCUAGCAACCAAUACUCGAGUAACAAAAACUAAUAAGUAGCAUGCAUUAGCACAGGUUCAGCUACUUUUCCUUGGCAUAAAACGUGGUGAGGGACAGAAGGUUUUACCGAAAAGACCUACCUUUCAAACUUAUUGUGGAAAACAUUCUCACAUUUCAUUUUUUGACAUUUUUGCCCUUAUUUCCACUUUUCUUUGCGCUAAACGUCCCUUUUUACCAUUUUUAACGUAAAAUGACCAAAAUACCCUUCUAUUUAAACAAAACAAAAAAAGAAAAGAAAAGAAAAAAAUUGCAACUAGAAGCCCAAACUUUACAUAUGUGCAAAUCAGCCCAAAAUUGGGAAAAAAAAAAAAAAAAGGUCACUAAACCACCUUAAAUCGACCACCACUUUGAAGCUAAAUAACUCCGGCCAACCACCGCCGAAACCAUCGGACCUCCAUACCGCCGGAUAGCCCUCACUCCCCUAUACACAUACCACCCAACAUCCAAUUACCAUGUCAACAAAUUUGGUAGAAAUUGCAAACCAAAAUAUCGAACUUGCAAAUACAAAUACGGGGCGACACCACCUGUUCCGACAAGACUCAUGCCAUUCCCAACAUUCUAGUCAAAUAUACACACCAAGACGUCCCUGUCCAUGGUCCUCAAAUGUCAUUUAAUUCACGCAAUCAAACCAAAAAGGCUGCAGCUUCGAACACAGCCAUUUCACUGUUUUCCGGGGAAUUGUUCGACGCCGGUGGUGGGACCCAUGAUCGGGGACCACUACCUCAAGUACCUACUCCUCAUGGCGCAUCCAAUGAGCAUAUGGGUCUUCCCCAAUUUUGCAUGGACAUGGCAGUUCAUUCAAAAAACGGAGAAAACACCAAACCCUUCUAUCCCAUUUUAAUUGGUGUUCCUCCACACCUACAACCAACAAAUUGCUCCAACUAGAAUACAAUUCAAAGUGUAACGACUCUAGGUAGUGAAUCAAUUGCUGUAAUUCACCAUUCAAACGAAGCAAUUCAGAAUUUUUGACCAACAGUGGAAUGGGAGUGGGGGGUGAGGUGUGGAAGACGUGUUUUUUUAUUUUUGGGUUGAUUUGCACAUGUGGAAAGUUUGGGCUUAUAGUUUCAAUUUUAUUUUAUUUUUUGUUUAAAUAGAAGGGUAUUUUGGUCAUUUUACGUCAAAAAAUGGUAAAAAGAACGUUUAGCGCAAAGAAAGGUGAAAAUAGGAGCAAAAAUGCCAAAAAAAUGAAAGGUAGGGACGUUUUCCAUAAUAAGCUUGAAAGUUAUAGACGUUUUGUGCCAAUUACUCUUUCUUAAACUAGCAAGUAACUAACGGGUGAGAGCACAUAGUGGGUCUUCAAAUUGAAUGGCAAAAUGGUGAUCUGUCACGAUAUAUCUCUAAUUGCAAAAUUUUAAAUUUCACGAAUGGUGAGUCUUCUAGCAGCACCUUGGGAUGGAAUAGACUAAUAAGGUCGAGGUUUAAACAAGGAAAGGCUUACAGUGAAUACCUAGGCACCUUGAGACGUGGAAGCACCAUCACAGGGAUUGGGAACAAUCGAGCAACAAUACCAAGUAUUCCUUGUAAUAUCGAAAUCUAAUGCCACUAGUAAUUGUAACAACCGAUCCAAAUAUGUCUUUCUAUAUACAGAGAUUAUCAUUAGUAUACCUUCAAAAAAGACGGUAUUUUCACAACAGGAAUGGUUUAUUCUUUUAAAUGAUGGAUAGAAGUAUAGCACUAAGAUUUCACAGAGAUGAAUUUGAGGUCUAGAUCCUAACUUUCAAAUACAGAAGAAAUAAGAAGGGAGAAUUUUAUAAAGAAUGUGUGUAAUUUCCUCUCUCUCUCAUUAGAUAGCUUUAUGGCAAAAUGGAAAACACAUUUCCUUGAUAAAACAUGGAAUCACUGAGUCAGAUAAGGUUCAUUUACCUUUUCUAAUCUUAAUAUUAAAACAGUAAAAUUCUAUACUGUAGUUAUAAUAGUGCAGAUAUUCAACACAAUAAAGAAGCCCAGAAGAUAUUGAAAAAUGUCCCAAAAAGAAAAUAACAACUUGAAAAGUGUUUCAUUUAUGGAGUAUUUACCUCGUAUCCUAUCCACACAACUGAUGCUAUAACUGUAACUGCUAGUGCAUUUGAAAAUUUUCUGUAAAUAUCCAAUUUAAUAGAACUCCUUUUAGCCUGAAAAGGAAAGAUAUUAUAGUAAGAACAUGACAUAUGCUGAGUGUUAGAUUUAUCAGAGAAAAAUCGAGAUUUCAUAACAAUACCACAGUGAAGCUAAGUAAGAGUUCAAACUGAAAGUGGGAUGUAUGGUACCUGUAGUUGCUCUAGCGUCUUUGAAAGAGAAGUGAAAAUCCACAAGAUCAAAAAGGCAUCCAAAAAUGCAACAGGAAGGACCAGAAAAACUCUGGCUCGCCCUGCUAUGUCAUUUAUAAUUCCCACAUACUCGGUGAUGUUGAGCAGUUCUGAUGCUAGGAAAUAAGUUAUUCCGAGGAGCAGCACCUUUGUUGUCAGACCACCAAGGGUUGGACGGACAACACCAUAGCCCAUUGCCACAGAAAGAAUAAGAAGGCGCGAAACAGUUUUUCUUAUAGCUCCAAUUGUCACAACCCAAGUGGUGAUUCCUACUGGCCUUGUUCCCGUGUUGUUAAAGUAUGCGUAGUCUAUGUACCAGAAGGUCAUCUCCAACAACCCAAGAGCAAUUACGGAAGUAAUGCAGUGCUGUAGUAGUAAAACAUCGUUCCAAUGUCUCCCAUACUGAAAGAACCAGAUGAGACUGAGGAUAGCAUACCCGAUGGACAUAAAGACAUAAAAUUUCAUCAGGGGGGCCAUUCUCCCAGGUAAAUAGCCAUCAGGAUUUUUCCACACUGUCCUCCCUGUCACCCUCAUUCCCUUUAGUUUCGGAUCACAUGUUAUAAAGAAUAAGUUGUACAUACCAGUCCUUUUUAUGUUAAUUUCCUUAUUCUUUUUCAUAUGGGUGGAUAACAUGGUUCCUCUAAAAUGAACAUUCACAACAACAGGCCAGUUAUUAUCAGCUGGUGAAGAUGUUCUGAUAACUUCUCCUUCUUUGCAACCUUCCAGCUUGGCAAGAUCAGAGGUGCAACAAAUAGACCUCUGUCCACCAUAAGCAGAUCCGCCAAUAUUAUCACGAUCAGCAGCCUCAAAUAUUAUAACUUGAACCAACCCACUCCUGUAUGCCAUAUUUGGGUGCUGAUCAGCAGCUUCUUUACUCCUCCAAAAUGUGAUGUUCUCAAAUCUAGAUUAAUUUGAAUGUUUCAGUUUAUGUAACUAACUAGGAUAACAAUAUCAUAAUUGAGUAAAAAAGAGUCAUGAUUGCAGUUCUUUCAUUUUCCUAUCAUGAACAAAAGAGAAAGAAAAUAAAAGUCUUGAUUGGAUAUUGGUUGCUAGACAGAAUAAAUAAGUGCUUGUAAGUUUUCAAGAUAAUUAAGUUGUGCACUUCAGAAGAUAAAAAUAUGUAAUCCAAUUGGCAUAGAUUCGACCAGAGGAGGCAAUUUAAUCCAAUCCAAGCUCGCAAUAUUUAGAUUCAACAAAAAUGAACUGUGUCGAAACCACAUAUGCGACAUGGUAUAAGAAUUAUAAACCCCAACCUUGCCCCCAGGGCACAUCUCCAAGUGAUAAAAGGGGAGGGUGGAGAAAUUCAGCUUUGCUUGAGGCUGCUGCGUCAAGGGUUCGAAUUCUAAAAUAUGGAUUUGACUCUUGGGUAAAUACAAGUGUACAAGCAACCUUCCACCCUGUACCCUCCACCUUGGAGGCAUAACCUACGAUUUACCUCCCUCACGAUACUUCAAGGCAAGUGCGGUGGGGGACCUUUAAGGUUGGGGUUCAACCUUUUUAUAAACCCCAACCUUGAUGAAGAGGAAAAUUCAAGCGUAAGCAAUCUAUUCAACCCACCAAUUAUUCAGCUCAACCACCGACAGCCAGAUUCAAAAAUUUAGCUCACUACCACUGACCAGCCUAUUUCAGUUUAGCUCCCUGAAUUUCGAAAUCUCGUAAUGACAACAAAGCGUGUGAAAGCAUCCAACACAUUUUGUUUCCCUCCUCAGUUUUCCCGACAACAAAAAAUAAAGCUCGUCAAAUUCAAAUAAUGCAUACAAGUGCGAGGGUAGAUCUGAUUAAAUAUCAUUAACUAAUUAAUUUUGUGCGUGAUAGAGAUGAAUCUAAUAUGUAAAUGUCGCACACAUAUACAUCUCAGAGACUGUAAUUACAGCUCACUACCACUGACCAGCCUAUUUCAGUUUAGCUCCCUGAAUUUCGAAAUCUCGUAAUGACAACAAAGCGUGUGAAAGCAUCUAACACAUUUUGUUUCCCUCCUCAGUUUUCCCGACAACAAAAAAUAAAGCUCGUCAAAUUCGAAUAAUGCAUACAAGUGCGAGGGUAGAUCUGAUUAAAUAUCAUUAACUAAUUAAUUUUGUGCGUGAUAGAGAUGAAUCUAAUAUGUAAAUGUCGCACACAUAUACAUCUCAGAGACUGUAAUUACCGAAUGUAAGAGCGACUAUCACUCGAAGCGGCGACGCCUUCACUGCCGCCGGAGAGCAAAUAAGCAGUGCCGACUUCUCUGACUGAAUCUCGAUCAUAGAUGUGAAUUGAGGCAUCAGCUGAUCUAAGAGCUGAUAUUAAUAAUAUUACUGAAAAUAGCAAUAUGAGAAUGGCGCACUGAUUUGAAGUGCUGCUCGCGAACCCCAUGGAGACGUGAGACAAACACUAAAUCCCUAUUUUGUAGAGAGAGAAAGAGGUAGAUCGGAGAAAUCGUGAAGCAAAGAGUGGGUGACCUAAAGAGUAAACUAGAAAUCAAGCAAGCGACAGAGAAGAUCUUGGCGAGAGGGACAUAUCACCACACGCCUAUUAAACCGAGGGACUGCUGCCUUGUUUCGAAUUUAUCAUGUUCAUGUUUGGCUAAACUUCCAAAGUAAAAAUAAGAUUUAGCCAGUUUGAUGCCCUCGGGGCACGUUCCAACUGAUAAAGAACGGAGUUUUUCAAGACGGGCAGUUUAGAGGUCGCGGGUUCGAUUCAUGAUGCUCUUGAAAGGCAAGACUUUCUCCUGGAAGGCAGAAUAUUUCCUGAAAGACUGGAGUUACUUAAAAGUCAAGGCGCAUACAUGGGUUUGAUUCGCUCGACACUUUUUGCAGUUCAAUUGGGGAGGCUCAUGGACCCUAGCUAGUUUGGGACACAACCCGCGAUUUACCUAGUUUGUGUGAAGAGGGGCUGGAUCGUAGACCCCAGGAUUAGUCGCUGUAAGGUAGACACCUGGAUAUAAAUAAAAAAAAAAAAGAUUUAGCCAAUUUGACAGUCACUACUUGGAAAAAAGUUAAUAUUUUAAGUAAUAAUUUUUAGAAGAAUGUGUGAUUAUAUAGUAGGAAAAAAAUUUAAAUUUACAGGUAAAAUAUUUUUUUAUGUAAAUGUAUAGUUGAAAAUGAAUAUAUAGAAAAAAAAUUCAAAUAAUAAUUGUCAAACGGUAUUGAUAUAAUUGUAUUGACGUUCUUUCAAUUUUCAUUAGAGCACUAAACUUCAAUUUUAGUAAUAGCAUCAAACUUUAAUUUAAUUGCAAUUAAGUAGCUCAAAUUGAAUUUUGUCAAUCUACAGAAAUGAUUAGCGGACUGUUAAACCCCUGUUUGAUAUCUUUUACUUUAAUUUGAUUUAUUUCUUAUACUCAUAUUUAAUUACACAUUUACAUAUUAGAAUAUUUUACACGUAAAUUUUUUAUUUUUAUUUUUAAACAAUGUAUUCUUCAAAAAAAAUUAUUCAAAACGAUGUUUUUUCAAUGGCGCUACAUGGACAGGCUUAAAACCAAGGUAAAAAAAGGGUGGUGUGGCCUUAGAAGAGACACCACCAAAACCAAACGAAAGACAACUUUCAAAAUUUGGAAAUGUAAACCCACAAAACGUGUACCCUGAAUAUACCCACAAAAUCCAUUUCUUCCUAAAUCGAAAUCCACACCCUAACCUUCUUUGGCCGAACUUCAAUCGAAGGUGACGCCACCGCUUUAGCAGCAAUUCCAGCACUAUUUGGCCACUGAACGUGUUAAGACUUGAGAUCCAUCUUACUAAGACAAGGUCAACCUUUUUAAAUGGAGAAAUUUAAGAUCUUUAUAAAUUGGUGUUUAUUUCGUUAUUAAAUUGAUGUGAGAUAACACAUCUCUUAACAGACCCCCUCAAGAUAGUGGCUCAUUUGAGCAGAUCAAUCUUAAAAUUUACAGGAUGGCUCUGAUACCAUGUUAAGACUUGGGGUCAACCUUAAUAAAUGAAGAAGUCCAAGAUCUUUAUAAAUUGGUAUUUAUUUCGGUAUUAAACCGAUGUGGGAUAACACAUCUCUUAACAGAACGCUUCAUUCUUUGCCCGCAUUUGAAUUAGUGAAGGUUUUUCCUCUGCUUCGGGUGCACUUCGAGCCUUGGUUUCACUGCCUCUCCUUUUACCAUCUCCGCCCACCCGCUAAAUCAGCACUCUGAUUCUCGCCGUCUCCCGUCAAUUUUGACCUGUUUGGGUUGCAUAGGUACAUAUGAAAAUAGCCCACAUUUUACUGUUUUCACCUCAAUUCGGACCUGGGCUAUGAAUAAAAUUUGAAUGAAUGGAGAAUCAAAAUGUAUGAGUGAGACGUUGUCUAUGAACUGUCUGUUAUGUGGGUGUGUUAAAAGAGCUGGGGUUUAAUAUCCCUAUGUUUGCUUGAAGGUUGACGUUGAUGGUAUGAGUAGAUCUAUGGGUCCUCUUGUCUCGUAAUAUCCCAUUGAUUAGGAUAAGCAUUUGUGUUGAUCAUAAAAUGAUCGAUUGCAAAUUUGAACUUAAAAAGCGAAAGGGGCCUCCUGGGAUUAUUAUGACAUAUCACCACACGCCUAUUAAACCGAGGGACUGCUGCCUUGUUUCGAAUUUAUCAUGUUCAUGUUUGGCUAAACUUCCAAAAGUAAAAAUAAGAUUUAGCCAGUUUGAUGCUCCCAGGGCACGUUCCAACUGGUAGAGGACGGAGUUCUUCAAGACGGGCAGUUCAGAAGUAGCGGGUUCGAUUCACGGUACUCUUGAAAGACAAGACUUUCUUCUGGAAGUCAGGAUAUUUCCUAGAAGGCCGGAGUUACUUAAAAGUCAAGGCGCAUACAUGGAUUUGACUCGCUCGGCACUUUUUGCAGUUCAGUUGGGGAGGCUCUUGAACCCUGACUAGUUUGGGGCACAAUCUGCGAUUUACCUAGUUUGCGUGAAAAGGGGAUAGAUCGUAGAUCCCAAAAUUAGUUGCUGGAAGGUAGACACCUAGGUAUAAAAAAAAAUAAAAAAAUAAAAAGAUUUAGCCAAUUUGACAGUCACUACUUGGAAAAAAGUUAAUAUUUUAAGUAAUAAUUUUUAGAAGAAUGUGUAAUUAUAUAGUAGGAAAAAAAUUUAAAUUUACAGGUAAAAUAUUUUAAAUUUAGAGGUAAAAUAUUUUUUUAUGUAAAUAUAUAGUUAAAAAUGAAUAUAUAGAAAAAAAUUUCAAAUAAUAAUUGUCAAACGGUAUUGAGAUAAUUGUAUUGACGUUCUUUCAACUUUCAUUAGAGCACUAAACUUCAAUUUUAGUAAUAGCAUCAAACUUUAAUUUAAUUGCAAUUAAGUAGCUCAAAUUGAAUUUUGUCAAUCUACAGAAAUGAUUAGCGGACUGUUAAACCCCUGUUUGAUAUCUUUUAUUUUAAUUUGAUUUAUUUCUCAUACUCAUAUUUAAUUACACAUUUACAUAUUAAAAUAUUUUACACGUAAAUUUUUUAUUUUUAUUUUUAAAUAAUGUAUUCUUCAAAAAAAAUUAUUCAAAACGAUGUUUUCUCAAUGGCGCUACAUGGACAGGCUUAAAACCCAGGUAAAAAAAGGGUGGUGUGGCCUUAGAAAGAGACACCACCAAAACCAAACGAAAGACAACUUUCAAAAAUUGGAAAUGUAAACCCACAAAACGUGUACCCUGAAUAUACCCACAAAAUCCAUUUCUCCCUAAAUCGAAAUCCACACCCUAACCUUCUUAGGCCGAACUUCAAUCGAAGGUGACGCGACCGCUUUAGCAGCAAUUCCAGCACUAUUUGGCCACUGAACGUGUUAAGACUUGGGGUCCAUCUUAAUAAGAUAAGGUCAACCUUUUUAAAUGGAGAAGUUCAAGAUCUUUAUAAAUUGGUGUUUAUUUCGGUAUUAAAUUGAUGUGAGAUAACACAUCUCUUAACAGACCCCCUCAAGAUGGUGGCUCGUUUGAGCAGACCAAUCUUAAAAUUUAAAGGGUGGCUCUGACACAUGUUAAGACUUGGGGUCAACCUUAAUAAAUGAAGAAGUCGAAGAUCCUUAUAAAUUGGUAUUUAUUUCGGUAUUAAAUCGAUGUGGGAUAACACAUCUCUUAACAGAACGCUUCAUUCUUUGCCCGCAUUUGAAUUAGUGAAGGUUUUUGAAGGUGACGCGACCGCUUUAGCAGCAAUUCCAGCACUAUUUGGCCACUGAACAUGUUAAAACUUGGGAUCCAUCUUAAUAAGAUAAGGUCAACCUUUUUAAAUGGAGAAGUUCAAGAUCGUUAUAAAUUGGUGUUUAUUUCGGUAUUAAAUUGAUGUGAGAUAACACAUUUCUUAACAGAACCCCUCAAGAUGGUGGCUCAUUUGAGCAGACCAAUCUUAAAAUUUAUAGGGUGGCUCUGACAACAUGUUAAGACUUGGGGUCAACCUUAAUAAAUGAAGAAGUCCAAGAUCUUUAUAAAUUGGUAUUUAUUUCGGUAUUAAACCGAUGUGAGAUAACACAUCUCUUAAUAGAACGCUUCAUUCGUUGCCCGCAUUUGAAUUAGUGAAGGUUUUUCCUCUGCUUCGGGUGCACUUCGAGCCUUUGUUUCACUGCCUCUCCUUUUACCAUCUCCGCCCACCCGCUAAAUCAGCACUCUGAUUCUCGCCGUCUCCCGUCAAUUUUGACCUGUUUGGGUUGCAUAGGUACACAUGAAAAUAGCCCACAUUUUACUAUUUUCACCUCAAUUCGGACCUUCGCUAUGAAUAAAAUUUGAAUGAAUGGAGAAUCAAAAUGUAUGAGUGAGACGUUGUUUAUGAACUAUCUGUUAUGUGGGUGUGUUAAAAGAGCUGGGGUUUAAUAUCCCUAUGUUUGCUCGAAGGUUGACGUUGAUGGUAUGAGUAGAUCUAUGGGUCCUCUUGUCUCGUAAUAUCCCAUUGAUUAGGAUAGGCAUUUGUGUUGAUCAUAAAAUGAUAAAUUGCAAAUUUGAACUUAAAAAGAGAAAGGGGCCUCCUGGGAUUAUUACAAGUCGGUAAGGGUCUCAUUGAUUCAACGAUGACGAUAAGUAACGAACAUGGUUUAGUGGAUAAUAAAAAUACUCUUUUGCCAUUUAAAGUAAUUGAGCUUAUCUAUUUCUUGAUUUAUUGAACUGUGAUGCAAUUGGUUUAUUGGAUCAUUUAUGCUUGGUUUACAUAUGCUUGUUUAUUUGAGUCGAUUGUGAUCCAUGGUUUAUUCUCCUCAUAGAAUGGGUGGAAGGAAUUAUGGAAUUUGCCACAGUUGUCGAGCAUAAGGUCACUCCUUUGCCGAAUGUCCACAAAAAUGCCAAUGCCCAUUAUGCAAGCAUGGAUUCGAGAAGUGUUUUGUGGUGAAGAAAGAGACACCCAACAAAGGGCAAUUAUUUCUUUAUUGCAGUGAUAAUUGCGGAUUUUGGAACUGGGUGGUGAAAGAAAAAUCAAGAGGUUAAUCCUCUAGCAGUGGCACUUCCUCAGCUAACACGACGACGAAUGGAAGAGUUGGAGAUAUAGAACGAAUUUUCCAAUCUCGAGUUCGCCUCAAUGACGAAGACGAACUACAAAUUUCGAUGAUCGUGACGAUUUGCAAGGCAAAAUGUAGUACGAAAGAGAAUGCAAAAGAAAAUGGGUCGACAUGAUUAGUAGAAAUUAAUCAAACGGGUUAUGACAUGGAAAUUUUUGCAAUUUCAAAAUCUUCCCAUCAAGGGGAUUUAGGCAUGUAAAUCUUCUAUUUUGUGAUGUUGUGUAAGAUUGUUUUCGCAUUUCGACUUAGCAGGACAAUGUUAACAUCCGUGUUUCUUACUCGAUGCUUUGAAGUGCUUAUAAUGUUAAGGAUUUCUAUAAAUUGAAGCACUUGGCAUGAUACCCAUCGUACCAAAGACAUGACAUCAACGCUAAUGGGGAUUGCACUUAAUAGAUCAUCAGGAAAAGUUAAUAAAUUUUCUUCACAAACCAAACAUUCGAGGGAUGAAAUAAAGAUUACAAACCAUCACAUAGGAGAUGUAAACAAACACGCACAAAUAAAGACUAUCAUGCAUGCACUGAAGUCAUGUGUUGAACAACCACACAAAAUUAUUUGUGUCUUUGUUCGAUACCAAACCAUAGCCUAAUAGUGUUGAUUGUCUGUGAUAAUUGACGCCAAUAACUAGGGUGAAUGACAUGUCGUACUUAUUAGUGAGAUACGUGGUAUCAAAAGUCAACACAUCACCAAACUCCUUAUAUGUCUGUUUGCAUCGAUAAUAUGUCCAAAAUGCAUUUCUAAGAAGCGACUCGUCAUCCAAAUCCAUAUUAAAAGUAAAAUACUGAACAUUGUGCUUGCAUUUUUUAGAAAUAUGCUUGUAUUACUGCGGCAAGAUUGUGCUUUAUAAAUUUUUUUCUUUGUUUUAAAAAUUAUUUUAUUUGACUUUAGUUUAGCACAAAAGUAAAAAAUAACUUUAUCCGCUAAAGAUUUAAAUAAGAUUUAAGUUACAAUAUUAUUUAUAUUAUGUAAUUAUGAUUUUGAGAUUUAUCGUUUUGUUAGAAACUUCGAAAAGUAUGUAUGAAGUUUUUAUGAAUAUAUUAAGUAUAAAUUGCCUACUCGAAAGUUGAAACUAUUAAAAAUAGUCUAGCUUUUGUAUUUUGAAAACUUGAAAAUUGUAUAAUUGACUAAUUAUAUGAAUUAUCAAGUAAAUAUAGUAUUUUAUAAUUUUAGAUAUUUGGUAUGUAUUAUUUUGACUAUUAAACGAUAUUUAAAAUGGUUAAGUAUUUAAAAUAAUAAUAAAAACAAGUAACGACUUUUUACAUUUAAGUCUCGCCUAGACUUGUAAAGCUUAAAGUUUGACUUUCAUGUCUAGUCAUAUUUUGCGCUUUUUAGAACGUCAACCCUGUCUAACCGCCGCGCAACAAUUGCCCACUUUCACCCCCAUUCGAGGCCUAGGCUCGUAAAUAUUGAAGUUUGACCUUUACAUUUAAUCGUGCUUUUACGUUUUCAGAACACUAAUCGUGAAUAAGCACUAGCCACUACCAACAAUUUCUCGCCUUCAUCCCAUUUUGAAAUUCCUACUUCGCUUUGCUUCGCUUUGACUUCCGUUCUCUAGGUCUGCAACCUAGCGUCUCCAAUAAAAUGACUUUUUACAUGAAACGACUACUUAUAUUAGAAGAUCGAACAUGAAAAAAAUAUUCAAGUAGCAUUGAGUGAAUGAUGGCAUAACAAUGUAGCUCUUGGAGCUCUGAAUGUUUAUGUAGACUUGGUAAAAGAACAACAAGACUAACAAUAGAAAUAUGACAAAUUUCACUACCCUUCGGAUCUAGACAUAUUCUUUCACACCUAUUGAAUGUCCACAUUUGUUGCACGUAUGCAGAAUCUCUAUGCAUCCUUGGCCAAAUGUGACAAUCAAAUCCACAUCCACGCACACGAACAUUAUGCCUUUUUGCAAGGGCUCCCACUACUUGCAUGUCCGCACUAAGUCAUUUACAUAAGCAAUCAUAAAACACUACCCUUUAAAAAGUCGAAACCACACAUCUGCCAAAAACCACCUCAAAUUGACACCUAGGGGAUGAAUGUGGAAUCUUAAAGAAAAUCACCAAUUUUGUUGUCAAACAUCAUCAUAGUUCAUAUAUGAAAGUUCAUGCCCAAUCUUGUCCUCGCGACUGACGAGCUCUUCCCUUGGUCGAGGAGUUCUUCCCUUGGUCGAGGGACAUAGGAUAUGAUAGGUUUCACUUGUCCUUAGGGAUGUCAAACAGGUUGAGUGGCUCGUCGGCUCGUCAAAACCCGACUCGUGGGCAGCUCAGGUUCGUCAUUAGGGGCUUAAUCCCAUGAGCCGAGCCUACUCGACUUGUUGAGCCCACGAGCCAUUUUGACAAACCCACGAGCCGAGCUCGUGGGCUCGUCAAAAAAUAUUAAUUUUUUUUAAAAUGUCCAAAAUAUGCAAAUUUACAAAAAAAAUUAAAAAUUUAAAAAAUCACGAGCUCACGAGCAGCUCGUGGCCCGAGCCGAACUCAUCCACGAGCAAGCUGGGCUCAUCUUCCACAAACCACGAGUCGAGCUCGUGGGUUAAAGAGCCGAGCCGACUCGACUCGACCCAUUGUCAUCAUUACUUGCCCUUCUAAACUGGACACUUGAUUGAGGAUAUGAUGGUGCAUUUUAGUCGUCAAUUGAGCCUCACCAAGUAACUUCCCCGUCUUUUUUCUUUUUCUUAAAAUUUUUUUUUAAAUUAACGAGCAUUUUUUUUCGUUUGUUUUUUAUCCCCCUCUUUACUUCUUGGAAAAUGCCUAUUGUAUAGGCCAGUUUCACAUGGCAUGUACAGCCCCUCACAUGUUGGGUGAGGGGAUGUGGAUGGGUGAUUAUUAAAAAAAAAAAAUUAUCCCACUCCCCCUAUAAUGUGUGUGGCCUGUACAAGGCCUUAUGAAAUAGGGCCUGUACAGGCAGCAGAACCCUUACUUCUUUAUUUGUUUUUUCACUUUUAAGUAUUUCCCUACUGUUUUUGGAAAGUGAGCAUUGCACAAAUCCACAGGGCCUGCACAGGCAAUAGAACCCUUACUUCUUUAUUUGCUUUCUCACUUUUAAGUGUGAUGCUCCCAUAGCUACCAACUCACGAUCUCGACCUAUAGUAGCCCAACAUCAACCUGCUCCCAAACCAUCAAAAGUGAGGUUGGGGUUCUUAGGUUGGGGUACGUUCUUUUCGACGAACUCAUAUGCUCUUGUCCCACUCUUUCCAAUAAUCGAGAAGAGUGAAAAUUCUAUUUAGACCACAAUCCUUACCCUAUUGGACUCUUUCUCUAACUCAAACAAUAGUUGAACACUUGGAAUGAAACAAUAACUCUUCAUCCUACGAGGAUAAGGAUCUCACAUGAUUAAAUCCUUUUAGGACUCUAUCAUCAGCACCUAUAAAUACAUAACCCGGGCUCAUUCUUGAGGUACAUUUUUCAUUAUCUCCAGUUUAUAGCCUUAUGCACUAAAUUCCCUAUCCGAUUUAAGAAUCGGAGGGGCGACGAGUAUACACAUCGUUCCCUUUGUUUCAGGUAUUCGAAGAUCGUUCCUGUUCAUCCAAGCUCGAAGUUUGAUCAUCAAGUUCGAGAUCAUUCAGGUACUAUUUUUUGGUAGCAUUAUUGGCACCGUCUGUGGUCAAUACACGUUCAAGUCUUUCUCUAGUAAGCUCAUCCAUCCCGGAUAACCCUUCUCCUCCUGAGGAACGCAUGUCCCUCAAGAAGAAUCGUCGGAGAUGCCAACACCUCCUCAAGCUGUUGUUUUCGCCGGAACUUUUGAGGAACUUGGUCAGCAAAUGGCUGCAUUAAUCUAAUUGUUAAGCCAUAGAAAUUCGCACCCAUCGCAUACCCCCACCCUCGAAGGUGGUUUUAUGGUAGAUGCCCGGGCUCGAGUCCGUCGAACAACUCAUAAUGACGGCGGGGUUGGAACUUCAAGUGCACCGCAAGUGGCUUAAGGUUCAAGGUCCGUUACAAUGGACUCCACUGAACUUGCUAGAAUUAUUCAAGAAGGGAUAGCAGUGGGUAUGCAACAAAAUCUCGAGCAGUAACAGGGUUUACCCGCAAUACGCCAUUCAUUCCAGAAGCCCUCUCGCAUCCUCUCCUCGACAAGUUCAAGUAUCCUCGAAUAAAGAAGUACGAUGGGAUAACCGACCCUAUCAAUCAUCUCAAUCUGUACAUGGAUAUCAUGAACUUACAGGUUGCACCAGAUGCAGUAAUGUGCAAGGCCUUCCCUCAGACCCUCACAAACACAGCUACAGAUUGGUUUUCCACAUUGGAACCCAACUCUAUCGCCUCCUUCUCAGAUUUGGCUAAUAAGUUCUCCACUUUCUUUGUAAGCAGCAAGCGAAUUAGAAAGACAACCUCAUCACUCAUGCAAAUGCGUUAACGGCCCAACGAGACACUGCGCAGUUUCAAGACCAGGUUUAAUAAAGAAAGGCUUCAGAUCCCCGAUCUACAUACCACAGUCGCAGUCUCAGCUUUGACAUAUACCAUUAAGUGUGAAGCAUUCAAGAUGUCUCUGUCUAAGACCCCACCGAAGUCUGUAAUCGAGCUAUUCACACAAGCUGAGAAGUGCAUCAAUAUGGAAGAAACCAUGGCACCAAAAAGAGAAGUUUCCUCAUCAGGAAAGUCUGAUCAGAAAAGGUCGCAUGAGUCAAGUCUGAGACAAGAUGUACCUUGAGUCAAGCCAAGGUAGGACCCCCCUCAACCUCCUUUACCCGUUUGAACACCUCGAGGUCCAACAUUCUGAUGGAGAUCAAUGAUUCAAAGGAGCUGAAGUGGCCUCCUAGGUUACGAUCUCGAUCCGAUACUCGUGACAACAGUAAGUACUGUGAUUUCCAUAGAGAUCAUAGACGUACAACGGAAGAUUGUUUCGCCUUGAAGCGGGAGAUUGAAACUCUUAUAAAAAGGGGAUUUUUGGGCUCUUACAUUAGUAACAACAAGCGCCCAAGGAAUAAUUAGAAAAGAGACAAGGACCCAAAGGGUCGGGAAAACAAGCAACCAAUGUGGUACUAUCAAUAUCAUUGUCGGAGGAAUAGCCUCGGGUGGAGAUUCUAGUAGCGGGUUUAAACAAUAUGCCAGGCAGCCUCCAGCCAUCUCAAAAUCAGACCUCGAUUAUAUAGACGACAUCACUUUUGGAACAGGGGACUUGGAUGGCAUAGCAUUCCUUCAUGAUGAUGCUCUGGUCAUAUCGACCAUCAUCGCCAACUUUGAAGUUAAGAAAAUUCUGAUAGACAAUGGAAGUAUAGCUAAUGUACUGUCUCAUGAAGCCUUUGUUCAAAUGGGGAUCUCAUUGGAACAGCUCAGGCCAGUGAGAACGCCUUUCCAAGGGUUCGGAGGUAGGGUCAUCACCCCAAAAGGUAUCGUCGAGUUGCCUUUAACAUUGUGAACAGAAAAUAAAUAGAUAAUGCAGAUCACCACUUUCGAAGUUAUCCGAACUCCAGUGGCCUACGACGCCAUAUUGGGAAGAUCACUGCUCAACGAAAUUCAAGCUAUUGUCUCAACUUUCCACCUGGCUAUGAAGUUUCCUACGAGCACUAGAAUCGAGGUAGUUCGAGGCAGCCAAAUAGUAGCAUGACAGUGUUAUGUGACUAGUGUUCGAAAAUCAAGAACGACAUUAUGCAAGUUACAGAGCUAGAGCUCGAGCAUGAAAAUCAAGAGAGACUAGCUCCGGUGGAAGGAUUGAAAGAGGUCAAGCUUGAGCCUAGUAGGAAAGUGACAAUCGGUAGGGGGUUAGAUACAGCAGUCAUGUCUAAACUACUGAAUUGUCUCUCCCACAACAUUGAUGUAUUCGUUUGGAAUGUUAAGGACACAUCUGGAAUUGACCCAGAGGUUGCGGUGUACAGAUUGAAUGUAAAACUGGAGAUAAGACUUGUAAAGUAAAGGAAAAGGCAAUUUGCACUAGAAAGAUGAGAAGUCAUAAAGGAAAAAAUUGCUAAGCUUGUUAAGGCAUAGUUCAUUCGGGAAGUCCAGUAUCUUGAUUGGCUCGCCAAUGUGGUUCUUGUAAAAAAGGCUAGCGAAAAGUGACGAGUCUGCAUUAACUUCACAGAUCUGAAUAAAGCAUGCCCCGAGGACAGUUAUCCUCUACCUCGAAUUGACAAUCUUGUGGAUAACACGUCAGGUCAUAUGUUGUACAUCUUCUUGGAUGCAUUUUCGAGGGUAUCACCAAAUACUCAUUGCGGAAGAAGACCUCAUUCAUGACAGAAUCAAAACUUAUUGCUAUAGGGUCAUGCCUUUUAGACUGAAGAAUGCUGGAGCAACGUAUCAAAGGUUGGUAAACAAGAUCUUCGCCGAACUAAUUGGGAAAACAAUCGAAGCAUAUGUGGAUGAUAUGGUGAUUAAGAGCAAACAGGUGAAUGGUCAUGUCUCUGAUCUUGAGGAAGUGUUUGCUACAUUGCGAAAGUACAACAUAAAGCUUAACCCUACAAAGUGUGCAUUUGGGGUGGCAUCUGGAAAGUUUUUGGGUUUUAUGAUUAUGCACAGAGGAAUAGAGACUAACCCUGAUAAAAUCCAAGCUCUGAUGAGUAUGGAAGCCCCUAAGUGCAAAAGAGACAUUCAGAAGUUGACAAGUCGCGUAAUUGUACUGAACAUGUUUGUUUCUCGGGCAGCGGACAAGUGUUUCCCCUUUUUCAAACUACUUCGGGGAAAUAAAAGCUUUGACUGGAACAAGGAAUGCAACUUAGCUUUUCAGGAGCUCGAGUAGACGUUAUCAACACCUCCAGUCCUUACCAAACCCAAACCCGGUGACACGUUGCUAUUAUACUUGCCAUUUCUCAGAAUGCAGUAAGCGGGGUCUUGGUAAAGGAAAAAGGAAGAGUUUAGCAGCCUAUCUAUUAUGUAAGUAAAGUACUCAUUAAUGUAGAGACACUAUACAAACUUGCAGAACAGCUCGCCCUCGCUUUGGUAAUAGCUGCCAGAAAAUUACGGUCGUACUUUCAGUCACAUCCAAUUGUUGUGCUUACUAACCAACUUCUUAGGCACAUACUCCAGAAGCUGGACAUCAUAGGAAGACUGUUGAAAUGGGCAAUUGAACUUGGCGAAUUUGACAUGGAGUGCAAGCCACAACCUGUAAUCAAGGCUUAAGCUUUGGCUGACUUCAUAGCAGAGCUCACUCUAAGGCCCUCAGAAACACAGGCUAAAGACCCGAGCAUGACCUUGAAAAUAUGGGAGAUCUUUGUAGAUGGAGCAUCCAAUAGCUCAGGCUUGGGGACCGGCAUCAUCAUCACAAGUCCGGACAAGACUAUGGAGAUACAAUGUGCGCUCAGAUUUGAAUUCGAGGCCACCAAUAAUGAAGCAGAGUAUGAAGUCGUUAUCAUAGCCCUAGAGCUUGCGAAAAAUCUUGAUCUGGAGUGUGUCAAAAUUUCCAGCGACUCACAGCUAGUGGUCGGGCAAAUCGAGGGGUCUUUCGAAAGAAAGGACGAAAAGAUAAGCAUAUACUGUCUGAAAGUGCAUGACUUCCAGAGACAGUUCGUAGGUUUGAAAUCCUGAAGAUAGCCAGAGCUGAUAACGCCAAAGCUGAUGCAUUAUCUAGACUCGUCUUCAUAGGUGUGGACGUGCUUGAUAGAACCGUACACAUUAAGAUGGUUGUAGAACCAGCAUAGUUCAAAAGCUAAGUGCCAUGGACAUCGAUCAUAAGCCCUCCUGGAAAGAUCCAGUAGUUGAUUACAUAAGUAAUGGUAACCUACCCGCAGACCCUCGGCUUGCUAGGAGUAUUCGGUAUAGAGCUACUAGAUAUUGUCUAAUUGAAGUAGUUUUGUUCCGCAGAAGUUUUACACUCCCUUAUCUAAGAUAUCUCAAACAUUCCAAAUCUCUUCAAGCCUUAACUGAAGUUCAUGAAUGUGUUUAUGGAAAUCACCAAGGAGCUCGAGCUCUUGUAUAUAAGUUGAUAAGAUAUGGGUAGUAUUGGCCAAGUUUGAAGAAAGAUGUUGCAGAUUAUGUUCGAAAAUGUGACAAGUGCCAAAAGUUUGGCAAUAUCAUUCAUGAUCCAACUGAGGAGCUAACUUCUAUUCAUUACUCAUCUCCCUUCGAACAAUGAGGAGUCGACAUCAUUUGGCCAUACCCCUUGGCCAGAGGAUAAUUAAAGUUUGUAGCUGUGACAGUGGAGUAUUUCACAAAAUGGGUAGAGGCUGAACCACUAGCAACAAUUUCGGAGCCGAAGCUCAAUUUAUUCAUAUGGAAGUCCAUUGUAUGCAGGUUUGGAAUACCGAAGGUCCUCAUCACAGAUAACGGAAGGCAAUUCGACAAUCCACAGUUCAGGAGCUUUUGUGCCAACCAUGGGAUUGAUUAUCGCUUGACCUCGGUGUCACACCCACAAAGUAAUGGGCUUGGCGAAGUAACUAAUCAGAUCAUAUUACAGGACCUAUGAACAAGAAUAGUGGAUGCCAAAGGCGGCUGGCCUGAUGAGCUGCCUUCUAUAAUAUAGGCGUACAUAACUUCUUUCAUGCUUGCUUUUGGACUUGAGGCUACCAUUCCAAUCGAGGUCAACCUCCCCACAAUAAGGAAGCUCGAGAUGAAUAGAGAGAAACAAACUACUGAACACCUUGACUUGCUUGAAGAAGUAAGAGAGCUAGCCUUAUUUAGAGCUGCAAAUUAUCAUAACAAAACGGUGAGGCACUUUAACAACAGGGUCCAGACAAUGAGGUUUAGAGCUGGCGAUCUCAUCCUUAGAAAAGUAGAAACUGCCGGACACCUACCAGGGAAGCUCGGACCAAUAUGGGAAGGACCCUUUGAGGUCAUUAGAAAAUUAAAAGGUAGAGCUUACAGUCUAAGUGACACAUCAGAGAAGCCAUUCCCAAGGCCAUGAAACGCCGACAAUCUUAAAAUUUAUUACAAAUAACUAGUUAUGACUAUAAUUUUUCCUUUUAAGGCUUGCAUGCCCACUUUAUGUUUGCUUUAUUUCAUUUUUACUUUUCGGGCUCUAACGCCCUAACAACUCAUGCUCGAAUAAGAUCGGGUAUCAACGCCCUUGAGCCCUUUUAAUAAUACACAAAAUUGUCUUUACGAUGUUGCUUCCCUAUUAACAAAAUUAGCAUAAGGCCGUGCUCCACGCAUGCAGCUAAUACCUUAACAAAAUUAGUGUAAGGCCAUGCACCUAAUACCUUAACAAAAUUAGUGUAAGGCCGUGCCCCGCGCAUGCAACUAAUACCUUAACAAAGUUAGUGUAAGGCUGUGCUCCGCGCAUGCAGCUAAUACCUUAACAAAGUUAGCAUAAGGUCGUGCUCCACGCAUGCAGCUAAUACCUUAACAAAAUUAGCGUAAGGUCGUGCUCAACGCAUGCUGCUAAUACCUUAACAAAAUUAGCAUAAGGUCGUGCCCCCGCAUGCAGCUAACACUCGACCAAUAGAAUCAAACACACACUGCCAAGACAUCAAACGACAAAAGGUCGGGAUCAACAGACCCUGACCUAUCCGAUCUUAGAAAGUCAUGAUAAUGAAAAUGAUCAAGAUCGAGGUCGGGGUAUGAAAUAACGUUUAUCUUGCGAGACCAUACGGGAUCUUGUCCAUAAAAAAAAUUUGUUUAAAUUACGAGGGACAAGCCCAAGCUUAUCCAUUAAAUGGUCAGCGACCUAAUCGUCGCUCCUCGAUAUGGGAAAUUGAAAAAUUAGUUUAUAGUACAGGACAUUAAUACUCGAACUUGUUGACCCCAAACGUAACGCUCCUACUCGAGGCCUUAAAAUACAUCCUGGAGCUUAGAUGAAGCCCAAUUUUUCAAGUAAAAGGAUCGAUCUGUUGAUAGUCUCGACGGACGAUAUUAUUAAGACAUACUAUAUCCCCAAACUACUACACACACCCGGGCUACAUACAUUCUAGUAUUGAUUAUGACAUAUAUCUAUACUAACGACAGAACUCUUAACAUUUAUAACAGCUCGAAUUUAAAAAUCACAACAUCCACACACGAACAUAAAAUACGUGCACGAUCUCGGGACAAAAGCAAGUUGCAUGAACUGAUAACAAAAAACCUGUCAAAGAUCAAAGCACAGUUCGAGCAAUAUACUUUAGCAAAAAAUCAAAAGUUCAUAAGCCCAGAUUGGGCAAAGUACAUAAACAAAAAGAAAAGUUACAAUAAUGUCUAUCUCGGGGUCGAAGUAAGGGCCUAAUCUAGAUCGAUGGGGUUGCUCCCGCCUCCAUGGUCAAAGGUCCUAGCAUCGUCGUCGUCGUCGUCCCCAUCGGCCUCUAAAGAAGAAAGCUCGAGGUCCUUGGUGAGCUCAUUCAUAGUCUUUAGCUCCUCGACCACGGGCUUCAAGUCUUCUGGGAGCUUGGUCCGGAGGAAUGAACGAGCUAGUUGCAACCCGUAGUAAUACGAGCCAGACCCGUACUAGCCCAGAAGAGUCCUGAACUCAUCAGACUGCUUGAACUCCUCGAUGGCCUGAGUUCUAGCCUCUGCCCGAGGUUUCACCAGCUUCUCCUCAAAAGCACUCCAGGAUUGAAGGAGCUCGAGCUUUGGCUUCUCGACCUCGUCCCUUGCCACCCCGACCUCGUCCUUGGCUUUCUUAAGGUCCGCGUUGGCCACCUCUAAGGCCCUUUCGAGCUCGUGGGCCCUCUUACAAGCCAUCUCGCUCUUGGCCUCGAGCUCGGCUAUUUCAGUUGAGAAAUUCAAGCCCUAGAGCCCCAGACCUCAAGCUACGCUUAGUAUCUGUAAAAACAAGUGUUGUACCCGAAGUCAGGUCGAGGACAAAAACUUAUCAAUGACAAUAGAAGUAACCAUGUUAAAAGCAAACCUUCAGAGUAAGGAGCUCGAGGGUCUAAACCCAUUCAUUUGAAUCGACCUCCUUCUCAUACUUGUCAACUAUGCUCGGGAUAAGAGCACAAUCAGCAUACUCCUCAAGCGACUUAGUGGGCAUCGGAUCAUCGUCAUCAGCAAGGAGGUCCAGCCUAAAUGUGGGAGUACGAGCUCGAGCUUGCUGCUGAGGCGUGGGCUGGCUUGGAGGGGUCAGGCUUUUCGAGCUCCGCCCAGACUCGUCGGGGUAGGACGGGCAGUCCCCCUAGCCCGUUUCUUCCCCUUGGAUGGAGCAGUUAUUGGGGUUUUAGACUUCGGGCCCCUUGCCUUCUGAUGUACAUUGUCCAAAAGUACGGAUGGAUCGAAAGACAUUUCAAGAUCUUCAAAAAAAGAUGACAAGACAUUAGCUUGAACUAUAGGUCGAUGCUUAGGCCUGAAAUUACAAAAUAAAAAAUAAAAAAUCAUACCCUCGAGGCCUUUCACAUUGGCAAGGUCAAGUGUGUCAUCCUCGAGUAGAUAGUCAAUUUUCUCUGCCAAAGGAUCGUGAUUCACUAACCUCAGCCUAUCUAUUUCUAAAACCUUGAAAUAGACCUGACCUUCAUUGAACCUAUCCUUAUCAGGAAUUUUCCACUUCGGGCUAAAAGGAUGGUCUGGGUCUUGGGGCUUCACAAAAAAGAAUCGUUCAUUCCAACCCCUGAGAGAGCUCGGGGUCUCAGGAGUUCUAAACCCCCCAUUGGUGGAUAAAUAAACAAAACAGUUAUAGCCCGAAGAGAAUUUCAUGUCAAAAACCAUCCGUAGUAGGUCGAGUCUAGGUUCAACCUCAAGACACCUACAUAGUAUAAGAAAUACACUAACAACCUCCAGCCGUUCAAGGCUAGUUGCCCCGGGCAAAGGUAGUACGAGGUCAGAAAAUGGAUGAAAAAUGGGUGAAAGGGCCACCUAAGCCUAACCUUAAAAGCGUCUCUGAAAAAGGUCAUCUCUCCCUCUCGAGCUCCUAACACAGUCUUAGUUGGCCUUGGGACUCUUAUGUCACAGAUAGGCAUGACCCCGAAUUCUAUAGCUAUUUUAAUAACCACAUGCUCCUUUUACUUGGUCGGUUCUUUGGGGUAUAUCGGGUCGUCAGUAUGGGAAUUAACAGGGAUGGCCAUAGGAAUAAUCGAAGUACCUAAGUCCUCAGGCCUAUCUCUAUGGUUCGAGUCUCUACGUUCCGGGCUACUAGACCCCGUACUACCACUACUUGACAUUAUACUAUAAUCAAAUAAAACAACUCAAAGGCUCGAACUCUUACCUCUAUNCACAAACCCACUAAUCCCCGAACUCGAGCUCGAUUUACUGAGAGAUGAGAGUGAAAAGUGAAAAAUGGAGGUGAAAGUUGGGGCAUUUAUAGGGGACUGUGGAAUACCAACGGUCAUGCAAUCUCAACCCUUGGACUAAGACACGUAGAGGCCAUCUAAGGUUGUGCUCUGACAUUACACCUGGUAGCCAUCUAAGGUCGUGCUCUGACAUCCCGUUGAACGCCUAACACGUGGAAAGACACCUAGGCAUUUAUGCCUCUACAUCUUCACUCGUAGUUCAAACUUGAACCGCAAUCUACGACCUCGAUGCACGGGGGCCUGUGAUGCUCCCAUAUCUACCAACCCACGAUCUCGACCUGUAUUAGCCUGACCUCAACCUACUCCUAAACCAUCAAAAGUGAGGUCGGGGUAUGUUCUUUUCGAAGAACUCAUAUGCUCUUGCCCCACUCUUUCCAAUAACGUAGAAGAGUGCAAAUUCUAUUUUAGACCACAAUCCUUACCCUAUUGGACUCCUUCUCUGACUCAAACAAUGGUUGAACACUCGGAAUGAAACACUAACUCCUCAUCCUACGAGGAUAAGGAUCUCACAUGAUUAAAUCCUUCUUGGACUCUAUCAUCAGCACCUAUAAAUACAUAACAUGUGCUCAUUCUUGAGGUACGUUUUUUCAUUAUCUCCAAUUUAUAGCUUCAAGGCGACGAGGACACACCUCGUUGCUUUUGUUUCAGGUAUUCAAAGAUCGUUCCUGUUCAUCCAAACUCGAAGUUCAAUCAUCAAGCUCGAGAUAAUUCAGGUACUAUUUUUGGAUAGCAUUAAAGUGUUUCCGUACUGUUUGCACAAAUGACUCGAUCCCAAAUGAACUAUACACUCCACAAAACACUCAUUAUCAAAAAAUUACACUACAGUGACUAAACGCACAAGUUUAUAGCCUCAACCCAAAUUUCCAGGACCUGUUCUCCGGCGGGCAGAAGCCUGGAAAAAGGGGUAAACAUACGCCGGCGGUAGCUUAGAAAACCAGAUGAGGACCAGACCAACAGCCGUGUUCAUGGCCUUUGGCACCAAAGGCGACGUAUUUCCCAUCGCUGUAAUUGUCUCCCUCUAUUUCUACUCCUCAUAUUUGUUGUAUACACGUAUAAAUAGGGGAGAAAUGCGCGCGAGUUACUUUCCCUACUCUCCGAUAUACCAUUUCUCUUUCAAUUUCCCAUAGAGAUCGUUUAUUUAAUAAUUACAAGAUAUUAUUUAUUAAUUGCAUAUCCAGGCCAUAGCUGCUGCGUUUGCUUCUGAUCAGCAUCAGUAUUAUGACGUUGCAUUCAUAACCCAUUCAGCACACGAGGUUAGCAUACCGUUAAUAAUAAUUGUAAACUGAUUGUUUCGGUCAGUUGUAUAAAUUAGUUAUUUUUAUGAAAUGCAUCAUGAUUUGUAAUAGCUAAUGAUCACUGGUCAAAUGUAUCUGUUGGAAUUGAAUGGUGGAGUUUUGCAAUCUCAUCACAUGCAAUUGUGCUUUGUCUUAACCAGUUUUACAAGACAUACAAUUGAUUGAAUAUGGUACUUUUACCCAAGAAACGGUUAUAUUUUCAGAUAAAGUUUUUGAAUUCCAAUUUCAAGCCCCAUCGCUGUGCCAUUGAAUAUGGCACAGAUUUGAUUCUGUGGAAAGGCGGGCAUGGAGCAAAUAUUAUGUAAAGGAACUUAUUUUGGUAGUCUUUUUGGUUUCUGUGAAAUUGGUUUGUGAUCCCUCACAUCAUUUAGAUACUAGAUGCUAUGCUUCAAUGCUAUGUAAAUGCUGAAUGCAUCUAUAAGGAAAAGCGCAUGAAAUGAAGAAAAUUUCUUAGGAUUAGAUCUCCAAGGUUUAUCAUAAAUUUGUUGUUUUGCUCUUUCUGAAACAAUACACUGCCCUAGCAGCAAUUUCCCAUCAUGACCUUAUGACUGCAAAUUCAGUUUGAAGGAAGUUGAAUACCAGUGUCCUUUUUCCAGUAAUGUUUAAUUUUGUUUAAUAUAUAUGUAGAAGUUUAGUUCAUAUUUUAUCUUUGCUAUUUGGUAUUCCAUCAAAAUCGUCAACAUUCAGCCGUAAUGGUUACACUUUUCUUUGACAGAACCUGGGAGUGCGGUUGGGAGCAAAGAGAGUUGCAUAUUUCCCAGUUUCAUCACCACCAGUUCUAUCUCCUUGUGAAGAUAGUGAUACUUCAGGUCUUGAGAGCUGAUUUUUCUCUAGCUAGAACUAGCAAAUAGUGGAAAGCAAGCUUUCCAUCUACAGUUUUAAAAACAAUGAACAUGUUAUGACCUUACCAUCUAAAAUUGCUUCUGUUGUUCUAGGGUCCACAAAGGUCUCCUUUUCUCUACGGAAGGAGGAAAUCACUAGAAAACAAAGAAAGGAAUGUGUUUCAAUUGUUGAAAGGAUAUUUGAAGAGAGCCCAAGCUUGGAGGGUGAUGUUAUCAUUAUAAAUUUCUUUGCUCUGGUACAUUUAGGAAAAAAGUUCUAUACUAUUGGUGAUUUCAUAUAUAUAUUUUAAUCUUAAAAUACAUAGAACCAAAAGUCCAAAGGAAAUUCAAGUUCUUUGCAGAAGAAAAGAAAAAAAAAUUGUACAAUCCUUAUGAGCACAUACUUGUGUUGUAACGACCCGGGUCUCUGUACUCAAGCCGUUAGUUUAAGUACUGUCCGCUUUAAGUGGGUUUUGCGCUCACUUACCCCUCACGGCUUUCUGUCGCAUCCCAAGAUUUGAACUCAACUCAUAACAUUUCCCUUAAAUAAGACUUAAAUUGAAUCCUAAUACCAAUUGGAUAACUUGUCCAAUUGGUACCAGGAUUCAACUUAAGUCUUAUUUAAGGGAAAUGUUAUGAGUUCGAAUCUUGGGGGACGCGAUAGAAAGCCGUGAGGGGUAAGUAGGUUUUUUUUUUUUGUAAUGACCCGAGUCUUUGUAUCCGAAUCGUUAACUUACGUACUGUCCGCUUUGGGUGGGUCUUGCACCCACUUACCCCCUACGGCUUUCUGUCGCGUCCCCAUGAUUCGAACUCACAACCUUUCCCUUAAGUAAGACUUAAGUUGAAUACUGAUACCAAUUAGGGUAAGUGGGCGCAAGACCCAUCCAAAGUAGACAGUACGUAAACUAACGGCUUGGAUGCAGAGACUCGGGUCUUUACAUGUGUUGUCGAUCCUUUGAUCAUUAGGACAUGGAGAAAAGAAUUUUGGAAUUUCUCAAUAAUUGGGAAAGAAGGCGACCAAUCUUUUUAAUGGUCUGCUCCAAAAAUUUUUGAUUGAAGUCAUGAGCACGUGUAUGGACAUGCAUAAUAAGGCUUAAAAUUUAGUCUCUGAAUUUUAUAAAGGUCUGUCAUCCCCCAUCCUGAUGUUUCUGAAGAGUUUAUCACUGAAGAAAUUGUAUUUUAUUAAUUAAGACACGUGUAUAAUUUAAUUGCCUGGCAAAGACACCGAUGCUACUCUUAUUCUAUUUUGCUCAAAGAAAGCAACAGGGCCCAUAAUACUAGUACUCACUCUCCUGUGCUUUAUAGCCUAUCACUUAUUCUCUCUCAUUGACCCACUAUCCCAGUAUCUUCCUCUUCACUCAUACACUCAAAUCCUAUAUUUAUAGGUGGUGAAGUCGGCUUAGUAACUGACUUUGUUACUCUAGAUAAUAUUAGUAUGUAAUUAAAGAUUGUAGCUAGCAUAUUAAUUUAUGGUGGUGAAGGAACAAAAUAUAAACCAUUCUUGGAGCUUUUGCAGCUACAAAAAAUUCUAGAAUUAGGAAAUUAAUAGUUUUUCUUCUUAUGUCGGGGCUGCGUCUUCAAUUUUUUUUAUCUUUAAUGACUCAUGUUGGCUGGUUGAAGCUAGUUGUUUAGUUGAUGCAACUUCUAUUGUCCAAAAUAAUUAAAGGAACCGCCAUUUGAUUAAACUGAAAACAGUAGGUCAAAACUAUGGUCAGGAAAUUUUCGCUGCUUUUGAUAACUAAAAGUCUAUAAGUGAUGCAUAAAAGUUUAGGUACAAGUACAAUGGGAUAUUACCUGAAUAAGGUUUCCUAUGCUUUCUGGUUAGGAAGGUUGGAGUCUUGCUGAACUUUUUCAUAUCCGCUGUGUUGUUGCUGCUCCUUAUGUUGUUCCUUACAGGUUUUGCAAACCUUUCAUUUUAUAUUGCUAAACUCUGUUUACUUGUUAUUCCUUUCAUAUUAAAACCAUAACUAUGAUUCUCCUUAUUGCCCAUUGUUUGCAACAAGACAAUCAAGUUAUAUAAACUUUGAUUUAGGUUCUUUGAAGGUUCAAUUCCUUCUGAACGUCUAUGGUUUGACUUAUGAGUUAAGCCUGUAUUUGGUUUCAGUUGUUUGUACAGUUUUUAUGAGAUCCGAAGACAGCUCUUGGUAAAAAGAGUGCUGUUCUUCUUGGGUUCUUUAAAAGAAAACUUAAUGCUGGCUGGAUGGUGCCUGAUUAAGUGCUGUCUUUUCUGCUAUUUUUAGGAACUCUUCUAGGUAGCCAUAUUGUAAUAAAACUGGAGAACAUACUUUCCUUGGCCUUUGGCACUUUUAGUCAAUUAGUCAAUUGCUUUAUCUAUAUGAAAUGUAUUAACCAUUAGGUAACUAGUCUUGCGGAGAAUAAAGUUCUAAGAGUUCAUUGUUCACGAAACAAAUUUACCAAUAAUAUGGCGAAUAAUUUUUUGGGCAAAUUACAUAAACCUCCAUUGAGGUUAUGGAAUAGUAUUACAUAAAUUUGAUGGUAUUUAUUUUAGUUCAAAAUGAUUUUGCAUGUAAAUAAAAAAAAAAAUUGAGAAAUGAGAAAAAAAGGAGAAAGAGGAUACUUAAAUAUUAUUUAAUAAUAGUUUCAAAUUAUAUUAUAAAUACUUAAGGUUAAAAUAGGAAUUAAAUUUUUACUUUUUGGCUGACGGGAUGAAGUCCAUCGCAGAAAACAAACUUGAAGAGGGGUUUUUGGAAUUUUUAAAUCAUAAUGGGGGGUGUCUCUGUAUUGUCAUGAACCUCAGGGGAGGUUAUGUAAGUUACUCUAAUUCUUUUCUAUACUUUUUUGUUACCAAGGAAAAGAAGGGGGUGUGAGGUUGCUUGUUACCUGGAGCAAGGGAAGCUCUGGAUUGCAAAGGCUAUUACUAAUGGUUUCAAGAGAAAUUAUUUUUGUUCAGCUUGAGCCUGGGGACAAGUUUUUAUGGUUUGAUAGGGAUGGUUGAGAAUUUAAAUGUUGGUUUUACUUGUUAUUUACAUACAUGUUUGCAAUUGGAUCGAACUUUUGCUGGUUAGAUUUCGCUAGUAUAUUUUACGGCUUAUAUUUUGGUUAAGAUUGCUACUGUAUGGGGAACAUGGCAUAAAAUGUACACGGUGGUGAAGUUUGGGCUUUUGAACUCCAUGAUAUCAUGGUACUUAUUCUUCCACUGUGUGACAUGCCGGAGAUUUCAUUUUUUUGGAGAGAUCUCCGUCUUUCAAUAUAUUAACUUUCCUAAACGUUAUUAUCAAGAGAGUGGGGAAGACAGCUAUUUGAAUAUUCCUGAUACAGUGAAAUAUUGUUUCUUCUCUUCUCAGCAUUUUUCUUCCUCAUGUUAUGUAUUUUAUAAUAACUUCUAUUCUGUCUAAUGCAUAAACACACACUUUUACCACACGUAAAGACACAUUCAUAACUAUUUUUUCCCUGUUAAGGUACCCUUUUUUUAUUGAUAGCUGUAUUGAAAAUAUCUCUGAUCUUUCCUACCCUUGUUUGUCCUUGAGUCCAAUGUAAUUUAUCAAAGAAAUUACAUUCGUUUAUAAUGUUAAAUUCUUUUCUAUUUCCAUGCAACCAGUGCCCCCUCCUCUUUUGAACGUCAAUUCAGGAAAGAAUUUCCUCUUCUGUAUAAAUAUCUCAAAGAAGCUCCAGCAGAUAUGGUAAGAGAUGAGAUAAUUUUCAAUUUUCAAGCUUUCGUACUUCCUUUGUUCUUCUUACAUAAUGAUUAUAACUUGAACAGACUUGUAGAAGCAACAUCUCCUCCACCUCAUAUGUAUGUAGAAAGAGAUUUGGGUACAGGAGUUGUUCUCUGUUUGAUGUUUACAACUAACCACUUGCAUCUCAUUUUUUUUGUCGUAGGUUGGCUGGGAAGAUGUUCUCCACUGGAUGUGGCCACUUUUUACAGAUGAUUGGGGAUUGUGGAGAAGUCUUGAUCUGAAGCUGAGCACCUGUCCUUUCACGGUGUGUUAUAUGGCCCAUAAAAUGUUUCUUGUGAUGUGUUCUUAGAUGGAAUGGGUAAGGUAUUAGUGUUUAUUUACUAACUUCAUGCAUUUUUAUUGCUUGGGCUGCUUGUCUUUGGAUCCAGGAUCCUGUAACUGGCCUUCCGACUUGGCAUGAAAGGCCUUCAUCUCCACUGCUAUUGUAAGCAUAUUCUCCAUUUCAAAGCCAUAAUGGAACAGUGUAAAAUUUUACAAGAAAUAGUUCAGCUAAACUUAGAAUAAUACUAUCUAAUUCUGUUGGCAUCCCAAAAUUCACUCAAGGAGCGUUCAUUUUUUUGUGGUUAUUUAGCAAUUUAAAAGAUUUGCUCCGAAAUUUGUUUUGGAUCUGUGUUUCUUUUUCUGAUUAUUGUAUAGCUCCAUUUUUUGUAUCUUUUUUUAUCAGAAGUUUUGAAUAGGACUUGAAAAAAAUAUCUUUCAAGAGAGACCAAGUGGUGAUAAGUUGGUUGAUGUUGAAUGAGUUCUUCUUGAUAAAUGGCAUCAGAUCUAGCAACUCUUCGUCUCUCUCUCUCACACACGCAUUGAUUCUCACUCUCUCUUUGCUCUGUCUUCAUAUCUCUAUUCUCUUUCUCACUGUACUCAGCAAUUCUUUACAUGUAUCUUCUGUUAUAAGGUUAUUAAAAUGUGAGUGUAGUAUAAUAUUUUCUGAUCCAUUGCUGCCUUCACUGACAGGUAUGGAUUUAGCAAAGAAAUUGUUGAGUGCCCUGGUAAUUUCUAAUGCAUUUUCUUGUAUUUAAUGUCAGUCAAAUUGAAUAAGAUUACAGAGAUCGUCGAAAAUUACGGUCAGAUGCUAUUGUAUCAUUACAAUUGUAUUAUAUAUAGAUAGAUUGUUUUUACUAUAUUUAAAUUAUAGGUUUCCAUUAGUUAAAAUUGUAAUUGAUUGCUAUCAUAUUUAAUGGUGAUUUUGGUUCUAUAUAAUGAGAAAACUUUUCACAUGGAGAGGCAUCGAACCUUGUUGAGUAUUAUUGACCAUAUUUGACCGGGUAUCAGAGCCUCUUCCUUAGAAUUUUCUCUCGUUUUCUUUGUUGGGUUUUCUCACGAUAGGAAGCUCCUCCCAUCCGGUCUUCAUCGAAUUGUCAACUAUUUUCUUUUCAUGUUCACUUUUGUUUUAACGAAUUGAGGAAGUAAUUCAAAAUCAGCCUCAAAUUAGGAGUCUGUGUCUUGGCUUUAGGUCCACGGAGGGAGAGGGCAGCAGCGUCAUAGGCCAUGGCAGCUUCAACAGCAAAAAAUAAUAGCAUUACACCAAAAUUCAUCAAUACGAUUCGCUAGAAUUUAUAACCUCAUAUUUUCCUACAAUCUGAUGUUUCCUAUAAAUCAUAGUAAGGAUCAACAGACGCUGGGAAAGUCACUCCAAGUUGCUAGAAAUCAUAUCCCAUCUGCGGCUGUAGGACAUUAAUAGGCACAUAUCUCUCUUAACUUUUGUUCAGAGACAGUAGCCAUAAUUGUAGCUGGACCAGAUUUAGCCACGGAAAUACCUAGUCGAGUAGAAGAAGUGUUUGAUGAAUAUUGGGCAGAACACCGUCAUUCGCAACUGUCACCCAACCCAACAACUUGCUCAACUCCUCAUCAUUUCUCACAACCAACUGAAUAUGCCUCGGAAUCAUCCAAUUCUUCUUGUUGUCUCUUGCAGCAUUCCGAGCAAGCUCCAAUAACACAAUAGAAACUUCAGAGACUUCGUGUCAGAGAAGAAUUGAAUGGAUUUCACGAUCUGAGAGACUUCGCGUGAGAGGAAUUAAUUUGGGAGAAAUGGAUUUUGCGACCUUAAGAGUUUGGAGAGUUUCAAAGUUCCUCCAAAUCCGUCAACUUCUCCGCCGUUCACCACCCUCACCGUCCCUGCCGCCGCAGGCAAUCAGGUUGAACGGAGGCUGUUCUUGGAAGGCAGUAGCUGAGUUCAGUAAGUGACUUAGGGGCAGAGUUCGAUGGGUAAUGGUAUGUGGUAGGCCGACCUGGUGGUUAAUUGCUGACGAUGUGGCUGGAAGCAAUUUUGGGAAGAGAGUAAGGUAGUUGGCCGGGUUAGAUGCACACAAUUACGAGGGGAUAGUAGGUUUGAGUUUGGUGGGUGUGGUUAGAGGUAUUGGCCUGGACUCGUAUUGGUCUUGAGAGAUGGUGUUUGUUUUGGGCUAUGAGAGUUGUAGCUGGGCUAUUGGGUAGUGGAGCCGUCAUGUGAUGGGCCGUAUAUGUGGAUUGUGGAUUUAACAUCUGGGGUUGAGUUAAGCUGUGUGGGUAUUGGAGUUGUGGAUUGAAUAAUGGAUCAAGAUCUGGGUUUAGAGGAUGGGGUUUUGGAGUUUUGGGUUGGGGCUUGUUUGGGCUUAAGAAUGGAGAUUGGAGGUGUGACAAACAGAAAUUGCCCGUGGGAAUUUUUGGGUUUGCAAAGACGCUAUUAAGAAAAAAAAUAAAAAAAAAAUAAAAAUUGGUUAAGGAGGGGAGAGAGACAUGGGAUUGCAGACAUUAAAUUUUGGCUUCUCAAAUGAUGAGCUAGAAUUUUAGAUUAUCAAAUAAGGAUCUUUGGUUUUUGGUUAAGGUUGUUUUGUGAGAUUUCUUCAAAUUGUAGCAUCUUGGCUAGCAAUGUAUUAUUGGAUUUUUGGCCGGUGCAUUGGUCGUUAGAGCUUUUGUCAGAACACGAAUUAUGUGUUCAACUGAAUUUUCCCGACAAAUAGAGCUCAUUGCGUGUGUCGGCACAUUUUAUGAAUUUCUUUUAGAAUUUCUUCUUGGGGCGCGAGCUCUUUGUAAUGUCUUUGGGCUGUUCUUGGAGUGGUUUUAGAGCGGCUCUUGAUUGUUUUUGCACUAUUUGAAGUUCUUGAUUUUUCGUCGUCACUAAUUUUCAUAGAUGGUUGCUGUGAUUUAGAUUUCUUCUUUGUGAGCACGAGUAUUGUUAUCGUCGUCAGUUUGUGAUUGCACCAGCAUUAAUUUGAGGGCGGAUGUCAAUGAGAUUGAAUAAGAUUAUGGAGAUCGUCGAAGAUUACGGCUUGACGUAUAUUUUAUCAUUAUAAUUGUAUUAUAUAUAAAUAGAUUACUUUUACUAUAUUUAAAUUAUAGGUUACAUUAAUUAAUAUUGUAAUUGAUUGCUAUUUAGUGAUGAUUUUGGUUCUAUAUAAUGAGAGAACCUCUCACAUCGAGGGGUAUCGAGUUUUAUUGAGUAUUAUUCACUAUAUUUGACAUUUAAUUCCAUGAGCAUAAAGCGGCUUCCCUGAUUGUAAUAAAUCUUGUUGUCCCUAAGUUGCUGUUUGUGGAUUUUGUAUUUAUUCCUUCAGUGAAACGUGUUUGUUAAGAUAAAUUUUUGAAUUUUAAAUUUUAUCACAAAUAAAUUCAUUUUAUGCAAAAUCUUAUUCAAGAUAUCUUUACUCAAUGAUUUUACUCAGAAGAGGAAAUCAUAGAGUAAUUCUUAUCAUGUGAUUUUCAUUCAUUGAGGAUUUUCUAGUCCCACCUGAAUAAAAAAAUCGUGAUUGUGUAUGAAAGAAGCUGAUUGCUUAGUAUAUCUGCAAAAGAGCUAGUCAAAAACUUCAUGAUAUCAAUGCCGUUUAAAGCAGAACAAUGAUCAGAUUAGGAAAUCUUGGCCAUAAAUCAUACACAUGCUUGAGUGGAAUCAUCUCAGUGCCGCCUUGUUUGAUCAAUGGUUGCUGCAAUUGUUGUAUUUUUUUGGCAAUAAAUUGUUUUUUCAAGAUUGUCAACUGCUAACUGUACAAUAGGUACAGAAAGCAAUAUGUUAAUGGUUAACCGUCUAAAGUAAAAAUGGGGCAGUAGAAGAGCCAGUUCUUCUGUACCAUUGCCAAGGCUAUGGUUUCCAAUAUGGUUAUUCUAGUUUAGUGGGAGCUAGGAGUGCACAUAUACAUCAACAUUUAUAUAGGGGGUUUUCUGUGUCUUCAUUUAACUCCAAAAUCCUGUUGUCCUUUAACAAUUUUACCAAUAGUCCAUGGGAGUAGGAUUUGUUGAUAUCAACAAAUUAUAAUUCAAGGAGAAUAUCAAAUUGAUGCUUGAAAAGUGUCUUGCUUAAAGACCUAACCUGUGAAAAGAUGCCAAAAAAUAUACAAAAUCAUCCAGUUCCAGGUCUUCUCAUAUAACAUAUAAAUUCAUCUUAAUCGUGAAGAUCUUGUUCUUGUAUUUUCACAUACAUUUUUCUGUAUAAAUCUAUUUUAUGUUUACCAUUCUAUCCAGACAACCUCCCGAUCAAGGAUUCUAAGCUUGCAUUUCAGUUCAAUGUAAGUAUGUAACCAUGCACCAGUCUUUCCUUGCCAUCAGUUUUUGGCUUAAUACCAGAAUCUGUUUUAAAUGAUCAAAGAACAUUGAACUUGCAGAUAAUAGUUAAUUACAUCAAGUUCAGUUCAAGAUUGUAAAAUAAGUAUUACUCUAGAAAAAGGCUAUGAAAUUCAUAUUGUCAUACUAUGAGUAUCCUUUUAUAUAACCUAAUGACCAACUACAGCACUGGCUCUGCAAGUAUACAUGUUUUUCUUUGCUGUUUAUGUAAAAGCUGAAUAAUACUAAAGAAAGAUUGUUGCAAAAUCAAUGAUUAUUUGGAUCUCUUGGUUUCCAGUACUUGCUUUAUUGUAACCUGUCAGCAGCCAAAGGUGCUAAGAUGAUCUUGUUUUUAACAAUGUUGACUUCAGCUGCCCUUGUUAUUUUUUGCAUAUUUGUUUUCCAUGUUUUUUGAUUUAUAUAUAAAGGGUUAUUUUUUUUACCUCCUUAGAAAACCAGAAAGCAGUAAUGCACUUGGUUUGCAUUCUCCUCCUAAGAAAUUUUUAUGUUAUUUUUGUUUGUUUCUUUCUCUCUUUUGAAAUGCUAACGUUUGGACUGGUUUAGGUUACUGGCCAUCAAGAGUUCGGGUUUGUGGCUUUUGGUUUCUUCCUGCUGAAUGGCAGUUCUCUUGCUUCAGAUGUGCAGACGCUACAUAUUUAAUGUCUUCAGAGAAGUUGAAUGUCCAAGCCAAGUUGUGUUUGGCUCACAGCAAGUUACAACAUUUUUUGGAUAGUUCACCUGAGAAACCUGUUUUCAUAAGUCUGAGUUCAGUUGGUAGGUGAGUCCAUACUUUGCAAAAGACCAUACAUUAUUUGUUUUUUUAACAUUCAUUUUCAAAUUUUUUGUUUGUUGACUCGAUUGUAGUUGGACUCUUGAAAGGUGCAGUAAAUUAUGCGAUAUGAAUGAUUUUCUUGCAUGUUCAUUGGCUGUAAUACGAGGGUUUAUUUUGUUAUGAUGUAAACUUAUUCUAGAUCUGUAGCUGUAUUUUUUUCUUGGGUAAAGUAUAACAUCUACUUUUAAAUUGUGCAUUGAUUUUUUGUAAAAUGCUCAUAAUCAUGAGAUGCUGAAUUUUGGGGAUGGACUUUAGUUUAGGAUCUUCUAGAUUUAGCAGUAUAAAUAUCUGAACCAGUACAUUCCAUAAACUCUUUACAUUUUUAUAUGAUUAUGUUCAAAUUCGUAGUACAACAUGUUUACAGGUUUACAUGAAAUUCGUAGUAACAAUGUCACUUCCCACCAUGGGAUGCCAUUCAUAUGAAUAUCCUUGCUCAAAUUUCGUAUUAAUUGGAGAGUGAUGCAUCAUCAAGCAAGUGUUAUUCUGACUGAUAGAGCUUUGAAUUAGGGCAUUUCCUUGAUGUUGCCCUGAAUUUGACCAGCGUGAUCAUGUAACCCAACUGCUAAUUCUAAAUUGUUUUUCCUACACCAGUUCCUGAUGCGACUUCUGGAUGGUCUUGUACUGUUAUAUUGGAUGUGAUUGAAUCAUUUCUCAUUGUCGAAUGCAUACAAUGGAAAAUAGUUAAGUCAUCGAGCAUCUAACAUGUAUGCACAUAUGUAGUUCACAGUUCUUAAUAUUGUAUAGUGAAUUUUGAUCGUGGAUAAGGUAGUUUUGAAAAUUUAGAAAUCUUAAUUUAUUAUUAUUUUUUUUAAUAACAAAAAUGAUGUCUUAUCUGCAGUAUGGGGUUUCUAAGGAACCCUAAAACAUUUCUUCGGAUCCUUGGAGAUUUGUUGGCUAUUACAAGUUGCAGAUUUAUUUUGUUUUCAGCUGGUUAUGAACCUUUAGAUGUCACCAUCAAAAUGUUUGCUGGAAAAGCACCGUCAGCUUCAGAACAAGUGCAAUCUAGUAAAGAUGAAACCCUCCUAUUUGAUGGCCGGCUCCUUUGCUUUUCUGGGUGAGUACUUGUACAAAUUUAUGGUUUUACACUUAAAAGACCAAUAUAUGGAGUAAAUAUGAGAGAGUAGGAUGGAGAGCACCAAUAGUUGAGAAUUCAAUAUAGGAGAAGUGAAUGUCUUUGGAUUGCAUAUAAAUAAAUAAUAAACUUAAUAGAGAAUUACAUAAAGUGAUACCACAAAAAUAGAAGAUACUAAAAACAACUCUUUUGGUACAAAAUGUAUGUUGAAUAAAUAGUAAAUGCAUUGGAGAGUUGAUUCUUCACCUGCUCCGCAACAGUUAGUCGAAUGCAUACUCGACUGCCAUCUGACAAACUGCACAUGACAUCGAUUGUCUGAAGCAUACUCAAGUACCUGAAAUGUGUUUAAUAACACUUGGCAGUUAUGUGUUCAUUUGUGUAUUUCAAUAGAAACGGAAAACUAGGUAAAAUUAUUCUGCUGCUUUGGGAAUCUUUGGCAUUUUCAAGAGCAAUUAUAUCAACCUCUUUAAUUUUGACUCUUUUGAGGAAUAAGUACAUUACUCAUCCGUAACAUUAAUUUAUCAUAGAUUGUAAACUUUCAGAUGCUCAAAUAAACUCUCUGAAUAAGAAUUGUGGUUAGUUAUAAAGACUAGAUUAUCUUGCGUGUCACACGAACAUACCUAGAUUGCUUUCAAGAAAACUCCGUAACAAACCUUUGAUUACUGAUGAGAAACAAAAGUAAUUUAAAUUUAAAACAUAUCAAAUUCUUCUCUUUAUUCUUUUUAUAUGAAUUAUUUUUUUAUCAACAUUUAACUCUUGUUUAUGGAAACAUCAUUUUCCCGGUAAUGUAUUCUAGACACAUGAAACAGUUCGAGAGACUGAUGAAUUGUUCUCUUUUUCUUUUUGGGGUUAGUAAUAUACCAUACAACUGGCUGUUUCCAAGAUGUGCUGCUGCUAUCCAUCAUGGGGGAAGGUAAGGUGUCUUAGGUUACGUUUGCCGCCCUUUUUAAUUGUUGUGAUUCUGCUGAAACAUUAUACAUACUCCCUUGUUGCUAUCUCUGCACCAGUGGGUCCACUGCUGCUGCUCUGCAAGCAGGAAUUCCUCAGGUUUGAUUCGCAACUGAGAUGUGUUUCUAUGCUUAGCUUGCUCGUUGUGUCUGGCAGCAAUCCCUGACAGUAGUUGCUCAAAGUUGUGUGAAUGGACUACUUCUAAAUCAGUCUGUAGGAGAAUAAGUAAUUGAAGAACAGUUAUUUUAAAAGAGAAAACAAGUACAUACUGGUCUCUUAACUAUCCGUAGACUUCUGAAGUUUCUUUCAUAAGCAACAGCUGCAAAAUCUAAAUCCUGAAGAAUCUUUGACAGAUACUGAAUGCAAUGCUAGGCAAAGAAAGAUUUUUCAACGGCUGUCACUUGAGAAAGAAAUCUAUGCUGCAUUGCUCCAGGAGUACAUUUAUAUUCAGUUAUUUUGAGAAAUAUAAACUUGACAUGCGUCUCUGUUAUUGCUGAAUUUAUUUUUCUGAAUAAUGGGAAAUGGAUCGCCACUGCUGGGGCAUUGUCAAACAGUUCUAAUAAGGUAGUUGUGAAUACCUUAACUAAAUCUAAAAAACCAUAUGAGCUUGAUUCUUAUUUAACUCAAACUAUGUAUUAAUUCCAUGGAGUUUUAAACCAAUAAUAUUAUCUUCCACAUUUAUAAUGGCCAAUGUGCUUCUUGAACAAUGCCACCCGAGCCACUUGCUAAAAGAUCAUUUAUGUUGCAGAAUCAAAUUUAUUUUAAGUCCAUAUAUCAAUGGCUUCUGCUUCUCUAAGCACUCAGUGGACACAGAAACUACCUGUUCUUUGAUGGCAGGUUAUCUGUCCAUUUAUGCUGGACCAGUUUUAUUGGGCAGAGAGAAUGUUUUGGCUCGGCGUUGCACCAGAGCCACUAAACAGUAACCAGUUGCUCCCAGAUAGAGAUGAUGACUGCUACAUCAAAGAAGCUGCAAAUAUGCUAGCGAGGGUCUUAAACUCUGCAUUGUCUUCUAAAGUGAAAUUGCGUGCUUCAGAGCUCGCUAAAAGAAUUUCCGAUGAGGUAUUUUUGUUUUUGCUAAUAUUCUUUCUUCAACGUGGGGAAGAUGUGCAGUUGGCAUUUGAUAUAAAUCCCUCCCUACAACUCAUGAAUUAAGAAUUCUGACAACAAGGUCUACUCGACACAAAUUAGGCGUUAACGAAACUUUUCAUGGAGUCGUACUAUUUCUCUCAAGAGCUGACUUCUUGUGUGUGUUUGCCAAUUGAACUUUUCCAGGACGGAGUUUCAGAAGCUGUACGGAUAAUUAAGGAAGAGAUAACACGUAAAGGAUGAUUUUACAAUAUCUGGUCAAGGAAAUAGAUGAUCUAUGAUCCCUCGAACCUUUCUCCGUAGGAUGUUAUAUUUAGAGAUUUUAUUAAAUCAAAUUUUCUCUGUUCAGAUGGAUGAUGAGUUCUUUGUGUCUUCAACAUAAUCCUAUAAUUUUACAACAAAACUCCUUUUUUUCUAUUUUUACUCAUUUUAGCCUAUUUGAUAUUAGGUACUAUAUAGAAACAUUGCUUCUUGUUAAAAUAAAUUGUUUUUACAAAUUUAUAUAAACUAUAUUUAAAUGAAUAUGUAAUUUUAUAAUUUAUUUAUUGUAAAUUUUACAUAAUUCCCAAAUACGAUUGACAAUAACCAUUUCAUUUACAAAUAAUUAAAUAGGAUUGAGUACGAUCUAGUUUCCUUUAGAGUUGAAUUGGACUAGUUUCAAUAUUUAAAGCAACAUAUGAAAUUAACUUUGCUAGCAAUUUAUAAAUUUUAUUUUUUCUUAUUAGUAAUAAUCUACUACAAAGUGAUAAAAAUAAGAAAACGAAAAAUGCAUUGAAUAACAUUCAAAAUUAGCUCAGCCGAAAAAUUGAUAAAAAUUAAAUUCACAAUCAACAUUUAAUUUUUAAUCUCAUAUUUUAUAUGAUGCACGACUUUUCAUUGUACAUUCAUUAACUUUUAUCAAAAUUAACAAAAAAUACCAAACUGGGCCAAGAACGGAAAAUAUUUACAGUUUUGCAACUAAAUUGAAAUUAAUCAGAGCACAUAAAUAUUUACAGUUUUGCAAGAUAUACCAGAAAAAAUUUAGUCUACAGUUCUAUGUGCAGUAACGUAACCUCAGGUGACAUACUGCAUUUGCUUGCAAUCGUGACAUGUGACGAUUAAUAAUUCGUUCUAUUUGCGAUUCCAUUUGCAGUAACGUAACCUUAGGUGACAUACUGCAAACCUAUUUGCUUGCAGUCGUGACACGUGACGAUUAAUAAAUUUUUUAUUAUAUAAAAUAAUAAGCAACUACCACGUAUAAAAAACACUAAUCGCCACAUAAAACAAAUACGAUACCCACUACAACAACAUUGUCCAUAGCCCCACCUUCCUCAAUAGUAACUAUCAUAUUCAUUAACAAUGGCUCUCCUUUUAACGAGAUCACCCAAAAACCCGAUAAAUAACAUUUGAAACUUGAAUUGGUGGGGUGCGCCAGGCCCAUGCAGCAGUGCAACGCUUGGGCGACGCUCGAAGGCCCAGGCAGCAAGCUACCAUAACGGGUCUUCCCCCUCAAAAAAUUAAUUUAAUAUCGUGUGGGUCAAUGACCCACAUAUCAGAUAUUAAACUGAUAAGAACAGAUACUACACUUGAUCUUAGCCAAAAGGCCGAGAAAGGUAUGCUUAAUUAAGUUUCAGCCCAGGCUUUUUAUAACCAAUUUCUUAAAGGCUUUUCUUCUCUCUAACCGAUGUGGGAUAAUAACGGAACGGCAUUAUUCAUGUCCUCUUCCACCCCCUAUGCCAAAUCAACAAACAAAUGUAGCACUCAAACAUCAAAUUUGUCCCCUUCAAAAUCAAUAAGUUAAUCUCAAAUCUUGAUCACUUACAAGAAAUCUGCAACUUUCAUAUGUACAUCUAAAUUAUAUUUACUCUCUGAAUAUCUUCAGGAACAAUGCACAGGAAAUUUGCAUUCAGAAAAUAAUGAAACAACAGUUGAAGUGAAAAAAUUUUACACGAGCUUUUCUCAACAUAAUUCCAUUGAUAAGAGCUAAUAUCAUUCUUUACAUAUCCUUAAAGUCCUAAUAGAGAACAGAAAACCAGUGACCAAGACCAUGAGUAACCCCAGCCCCCCUCAUCCCAAGUAUUCCACCUUUCCGAAUCAAUUCCUGCCCUACUUUAUGGCCUUUUCAUUUUGCCACCACCGUAUUUUACAAAAAAUAAAAUUACUGUAAAAUUUUUUGUGUGACUGACUGUGCAAGUCCAGCAGACUAAUGUUUUUCUACGAGUUCCAGAGCAGCGUGCUAUGAGCUAUUGUGCAACACCAUUAUCUGCACAAGGACCGUCGUCUUGAACUAUUUUCCCGACUGGAUUAUCUUCUGCCCAGAUGGAUGCAUCUAAAUAUCCAAGCUCAAAGAGCUUAUCGAGAAUAUCAUCUUCUGCUGGUUCAAGAGCCCAAUUAAAGAGCUAGGAAAUUGAGCAUAAGAACAUCAGGAUUUUAUCAGGAAAAUGGAACUAGGAAAUCAUCUCAAGUGAGGCCGAAAAUUACCUCCCUGGGACUUGCCCGGUUUUCUGGGUUGCAGUCGGGACUAAUUCCAAUCCCUUGCAAUCCCAAACGACUGGCAGGAAAAGCACAAACACGUACCUGUAACAUUUCAACAGUCAAGAUUCACUUAAUUGCCACAAGAAUAUACAGAUGGUAUUUCAAGAACGAAAGAAAAAACACACCCAUAGUUCUGAUCGAUAUAUCAUCAACAAAUAAAGCCAACCAAGAUUAUAACUGAGUCACAACCAAAUUUAAAUAUAAAACUCAAAAUUUCCAACACAACUGGACUCCACACAUUCAACUUCUUAUAAUCAGAAAAGAAGCUAUACGACACAUUCGUUACCGUUUCAAUAAAAAUAGAGAAUACCGUCUGUGCAGCCGAAGUUGGAGGCAUGAACAAGGUCAAACCCCCAUCUAUACAAAGUCGAUUACGGAACAUUGUUGCUGGCCUCGGUGCAAGAUAUCUGUAAUAAACUAAACUUUUAGUUCAACGUCCAAAUCUAGCCUAGUAGCUAAUGCAGCAAUAGAAAACGCGUACCCUGGAAUAAAUGAGGAAGUAAAGACUGCAUUAAUGAGAUCUUCUUUAGAAUCAAACUCAUCAACCAAUAAGCCCCUUGGCCUCCACAGAAUCUGUGUUACAGCAACUGAGAUGAAAUCGCAUAACAAAUUAUCAAAACCUCAUCUCUAGAUGCCGCUGAAAAGCAUUUUCAUACAUCAAAAUUAGUGCCCAAAUUACAUGAGCAGGUGCUCAUGAGAUUAGUAAAACGAAGUUGUUUGAGCUGUGUCUCAGAAGGACUAGGGCAGCACUUUUUAGGAGGUCACGAUUUUUUCUCCAAAUUAACUACACUUCGAUGGCCAUUAUACAUUGUAGAUUGCGACUGUGAACAGUGGUGUGUGCUUGUGCUGGAGGGAAAUAACAAUACUCACCACGAACCCUUCCACUAGAUCGGAUAUGAACAUCACCAGGCAGAAAUUUCUCCAGAAUAUCCCUAAGAACAGCCUGUGAAUUGAAACAUUUUCCAUAUUAAAUACCUGGAUUUUACAGUGAGAUAAAAUAAGAUAUUGUGCAAUUUUUUCUUAGUCCUCGUAUGCUAUUUUAAUCCCUCCAUACUUGAACCAAAGGAUUACUUGUUCUAUUCUUAUUCAAUUCCAGUUUUAUAACCACUGCACUCUGCAAUCCACCCGAGGUGAAAUGAUAAGAUAUACUAGUUCAGCUCACCCAUUAAACUUAUUAAUACUGGCAUUUUAAACAAAAACAAAAUGAAGCACAACAGCAGAAAGGGAAAAAGGAGAUUCAUAAGCCUUGCCACCAAUGGUCACUUAUUUAUUAGCUAUCAAAACCAUUUGUUUAAUUCAUACUGAAGGCUGAUCCCUUUUUUCUUCAAAGUUCAUCUUUAGCUAUACUGAUGAAGUUUAAUAAUACUGUUGUCCUGUUUUUAUCUAAUUAACCUCACACUCAUUAAACGUAGCACGUGCACAUACCCCGAGGCGAAAUGCAGUUCCUCGAAGUCGACAAUUUUCAGCCAGCACUUUGGUAGCUUCUAAGGCUUCCUGCAUACUGGCUCCAGAUGCAAUCACAGCACAGACAAUAGCACCUGCAGAUGAACCGGCUAAUGGUGUUGUCUCCUGUAUCAGAAACAUAUACUGAAGUCAAAGAACUAGCUAUUAUUUCUGCAUCAGAAAAUGCUUAGUAGUACUGGAAGACCCUAUACUAAAAUUAUAGAUGUAGGAGAAGAAUACUGGAGAAAGAUGAGUUUCAUGUCAUCUACAUUCAGAACUACAACAUAUAUAUAAUUAUCUCUCACAUUACAAACAGAAAAACCCCUGAAGAAAUUCUGCAGCCUCAUAUGGCAUUCAAAAGAACUGUUUCCAAUCACCAAAAGAUACCAGUGAUAUACAAUGGCGAGCAUUUUCAAUAUAUAAGCAUGGAAAUAUCAGCAAAGCAAUUAUAAGCCAAAACCAACAAGGCUUUUAAUCGGUUAAUCAAAGGUUGAAAGUUUUGAUCUUUUGUCUGGGGUAUCUCAUAUGCUGCAAGUGCAAUACCUUAACCGGUCCUUCAGAAUGUCAAGAUAAAUGCUCAAAGUAUGCAGCUUCAAUUCAAAAUACGAAAAUACGGGAUAAAAGAUUAUCUGAAUAAAGUAAGCUACUCUAAAUUUUUAAUGCUGGAUUAUCUUAAAUCUUCCAGAAAUGGUCAUAACAUUGAUUCAGAUUGCAUUUCAAUCAAAAUCAGGAAAUAAAAUUCUUUUAUAACAACAAUUCUUGACAAAUUUUAGUAUUUACUCGAAAAAUUGAUAAUAAUAAAAUAUAUUGCUGAGUCAAUAAAUAAAUGCACCUGAAAAUGUCUAUAAAGAGUAAAAUUUUCUUACUGAGACAGACAUACAAAAAGUACAGCGUUUUUCUCUAUGCAUUGGGGUUUAUCUGAUUAGGGGUGAGGUGGAACUCAUUAAAAAUUGAGACGAAGAAAGGAUGAAUGGGGAAUUGACAACCCCCAUUCAUGGUGACUUUAUACACGACUAUCUCAUGGGGGUCAAACCCGGGAAGCAUCUCCUUAGGCCUAGGGGCUCUAUAAAUAUAAUCGUCUAUUCGAUCGAACCUGUUAAGGCACUUCUCUAACUUAAGUGGAGAGUCGUAAAGACUAUAACACUUUGGAAUUUCAAGGACAACAAUCUACCCCGUCGGGUCUCGCCCAAUUUCAAAAUUCAAGUUCGAAAGCUUCGUUGAACCAAUGUGUCUUCUUGGGGAUGACGUUUGGAAUGCUACAAUUUCGGGCGAAUGGGUCGGGACUAUUGGAAUCGUGGGGAGAUCGACCGACUAUGGGGGGACCCUUGACGAGGCUGGUCGCCGGUCGACCAGCGUGAGGCCGAGAGGUCGGUACCUUUGACUAGCCUUGCUGACCAGCGCCAAUCGGCAACGCGUCGCCUGACCCAACACACAAUGGGUCGGACGACACAUUCACCCCCUCGUUUUCGCUUUCAUCGGAAGAGGAAGUUAUAAUGGUUUUGUACAUAACAAGAAGAAAGAAAAAAAAACUUGGAAUAAAAAGAAAGGAUGAGAGGAGUACCUUACUAUUGGAGACAAAGAAUUUAUGAGGGGAGAAGUGAGAAUGAGGGAGGUUCCUCCUCUUAUAUAACCAAAUAUUUUAAAAAUUUUGGAGGGAAGUUUCCCCCCAAAAGUACCAAGCCCACUUGAAAAAUGCCAUGUUUAAGGUUGUCGCUACCCAACGCCACCUAGACCGCUCGACCCAUUCAUAUUGAGCCAACUAUGGUCGAAUAUUAAAUAUUAAAAAAAAUAAAUUUGUCGAAGGUAUGGGAAGGGAAAAUAGAUGCUAACCUUUACCGAUAAAUAUCGACAAGGGAUAGAGGGGCUAAUGAUAUUGGACAUCGUUAAUUAUCAACAACAACUAACAAGACAUGAGUUCUGCCGCCACCCCACACCACCCGUGGGCAUACAACACCCAUGCCGGGCGUCGACCCCCAUGGGUGCUUUACACCCACGCCGGGCGUCAACCCUCAUGGGCACUUCGCACCCAUGCCAGGACAUCGACCUCCUAGGCGCUCUGCGCCCAUGCCAGACGUUGAACCCCUGGGCGCGCUAUACCUAUGCCGGGAUGUGGACCGCCAUGGGGCUCAUAACCACUACGCAGCCAAUACAACACUUAGCCAAAAAUCACAAUUUGGGUAGAGAUCACGCGACGGUUGUUACAAACACGACUGGCAGUUGAACGGGCGGAGGUUACCCACUAAGAACGUGAGGGUAGUGGAAGAUGUUACGUGGGAUACAUGGCACCAUAGCUGCCCGACCUUCACAUGACUCCAAUCGCCUAUAAAUACUCCAAAAGGCGAAACAUGUAAAGAUCUUGGAAAAACUUUAGUUAUUUGAAUAUCUCCUUAUUCCUUUCCUAAUUCUCCAUAAUUCGAUACUAAUUCUCACGCCAGAGGUACAACGGGGGUGAAAGCCCCGACCUCUCUUUUUCAGAUAACAAUUGAUCAUCCGAACGACGGAAGCACCCCACACCGUCAGGAGGGCAUGGAGAUUCUUUCCUUAACCAUUUCACUGGAAAAUAUUUUUACUUGAAAACUGAAUCAUAUAAAAAAUUAAAAAUGCAAAUAAAUUUGGUAUUUCAAUCAUUUUUUUCCUAAAAAUGAAAAUAGACAAGUAGAAAAAAUAAAAUAAAAAUAAAGCAUCCGUUGAACGACAAAUAAAGAGAAUAAAUUUUGUACCACAUACAUUGGCGGACCCACAAUGAGUCCUAGGAGGUCACAUGUCCCGCCAACCAAAAAAGGGCUUUUUUUUUUUUUUUUUUUCUUAAAUAAAGUUGAAAAUAAUGUAUUCAAAGAGUCCUUUCAAAUUCUAAUUCAAACCGUCCAAAUUCCAAUUGAAGCCCUCUUUCAUUGGCAUCACCAAACUGAAAUAUGGCCCUUAUUUGAGUCACAUUAUUUUUAUCAAAAUAAAAUUUUCAAGAAUGAUUUGACACAUUUCAAUCACAUAUUCUUCAUUAAAAUAAUAUUAUACACAAAUUUAAAAUUUUUCUUUGUUUUUUAACUACACAUUUUCCAUCAAUACACUAUUCAAAAAUACUUUUUUUUUUUUGCAAGAAUGGGGCUCAAGGGAAGAAUGCAAGAAAUUGUCCCACACGAGAGAAGAGAAGACUCCUAGCUCGACGGUCUCUAAUUCGAAACUUUGAAGCAAAACCUAGCAAUUCGGGACUGUCCUUGCUCACCAUUUCUGCCCGACUGAAUUCCGUCGACGAUUCAGCGAUAGCAAACGGAAAAACAGCAAGGGUCUAGUCCCGAGCGACGCUAGGCAAGAACGGAAUAUUCUGGUGCUAUAGGCCUGUGGUACACUUGGAGAAGGAGAACAGACCAGUUGCAACAGCCAACAGCCAUUGGUGCUGUUGAAUUAAAUUGCAGCUCUACGCGUACAGGUGACAAGUUCAGGUUGCCAAUUGUUUGAAUGGAUACUUUGGUUAAUAGGUUGCAAUGGUUAAAGUAUUGCUCGUUCCUCCGGAAAUGCAUGCUUCCAAAGUUAAAAAAUUGCCUAUUUCUAAAUGAGUAGUAUAAACUAAACUUUUAAUUAGUUUACCUUAAUCUCUUUACAAUCAAUAUGAAAAUCUCAAAAUUAUAAUGCUACAGAGAAAACUUCGGAGAAUUUGCACAUUCUUUUUCUAUUUUGUAAUUAAAUAAAAAAUAAAAUAUACAAAUUUAUUUAUUUGGGUGCAGGUGAACAACAUACAAAAUUACAAAUCAAGGUUAUCCUAUUCUUAUCCUAUUUGGCGUUUUCAGGUUGUUAAGGCAACAAGGUUAGCAUGUUUAAUGUUCUAAUUUGCAAUAGCCAUUUAUAUUUUUGUGAUAUCUUUAAUAUGUGAAUUUCUAUUUUUUGUCAAUUUGUGAUUUUCGAAUAUGUGAUUUGUAAAUUGUAAAUUUUGUGACGGAUAAUUGAUUUGUAAAUUGUGUUUGAGAAUUAUGUAUUUGACAGUAUCUAAAAUGAUAUAAUUAUGGAACAUUAUCAAAUUAUAUAUAUAUAUAUAUAUAUAUAUUGAAUGCACUGUAUUUGUACUUUUGAAAAUUUAUGGGGGCUUCAUAUGCAAAUUUGUUUUAUUUAAACUAGAUGACGUUUAUUAUUUAACGAUCAGUGUGAAUGAAUUUUGUUAUUUAAUUGAAAGGUUGUUUAUACUAAAAGAAAAGGUCAACGGUGUACUAAUUCCAGUAUCUUUAAAGAAUGAGGAAAUUACAAAAAGUAAGAGCUUUAAUGAUCUCAUUUCAUAAAUCAGAUUCGUAUCAAUUUUACUAUUUCAAAUGUCAGAUCUUUUAUUAAUUAAGCUCCCGUUUCAUACUUAUGUUUUUCAAAAUACAUUUUUCUCU
rnacentral:lncRNA from 1 species